GCUUCUACUGUUUGCUUCCUCUUAAUGAAAUGGGAUUCAGAGAGAGAAUUCCAUGGUUUUAAGGAAAUUAUUUUCCUUAGUGGUUAGCUUGGAGAGAGAGAGAGAGAGAGAGAGAGAUUGGAUGGUAGGAUUGGAUCAUGUUUGAUUUGGGGCGGAAAUGAUAUAGUAAAGGUUGAUUAUUGUUAUCUUGAGGGGUGGAGGCAAAGGAAAUCUUAAAGGGUAAGGGAAUCUUCCAAGGGCAGAGGAAUAUUAUGAUCAGAGAUUUAGAUUCAAAAGGAUAAUUGCUUGGUAAAUGUGAAAGGGUGCAUGGAUGAAGAGUUGUAGGCAUAGAGCAUGGUCCUAGUUAGGAGGAAUAAGGUUGCUUUACAACCAAGAUUAAUUCAUUUGUGUUGAAGGGGAAAGAUGGUGUGGUGAAGGUUAGCUAGGUUCAACUAAGGGAGUCUAAAGGGCUUCUAGAAGGCCAAGGUCAUUGCCUAAGGGGUUAGGAGGAUGCAUGGAUGAGAGUGGUUUAGUUAAUGGUGAAUAAAGGAAUGUGUAGGGAUAAGUGGAAGUUGGGACAAAAUGGAUGAUGGAUAAAAGGAUAUUUAGAUGAAAAAGAUACUUAGGGGCCUAGAAAUAAAGGACACAAUGGAGAAUGAUGUCGGGAGGUGUCAUGUUGCUUAGCUGUCACUAGGCUGUGGAUGGGUGUAGAAGUGGGUGAGAUCACAGGUUUGUGGAGGAUUGAUGUAGGUAAAGAUGUGAGGCCAUAACAUGCUGUUCAGUAUGGCAGUUAGGCUUCUCAUGGGCUUGUGGGUCAUAUAGCUCUAAGAUGUUUUGGACCUAUUGGGCAUAGAGAACAAUUUUGAGUUUGGGAUUUUGGGGUUAGGUGGGGGCAUAUGGCACAGGCGGAUGUGGAAUUUUGGAAGUGGUAUAAGUGAAGCCAAGGGUGACUAAUGUAAAUUUCAGCUAGUGUGAUUUCCAAAUCCCAAGUUGAUGUUAGAUGAACUUUGUAAGGUUGGUCCGAUGGAGCUCCAGGAUAGGUGAGGUUGGUUGGUUGAAAUUGGGCUAAGGGUUAGGUUUGGGUCGGGUCCAAGUUAACCUUCCAUAUUGAGGAGAGCUCCUUAUUGGAUUAAGGAGAAAAACAAGGUCUCGGAGUGUGAGUAUGUGUGCGCGUAUUACUUAGAGUUUUCAGCAAAUUGUAUUUUAGAUUUGAAUUCAGUGCUUAAUGAUUUUAAGUGACACCUUUCUAAGUUGUCAGCUUUUAAUAUUCCCUCCUAUUAUAUUGCUUCUUACAAAAACCAGAAAGCAAGCAAUUUAGUCUAGUGGAGUUAACUUUCAGCCAGAGUAAGAUAUGAUUUUUGAGUAUUAAUAAUUUGAAGUGAUUUGUAUAUAGAUGAAUAUGCUUUAAAUAUAAGUUGUAUGUCUUUGUCAUUGACUUACAAAUUACAAUGAUAAAAAUGUGUGAAGUGGAUCAAUGUGGCAUAAGUACAAACGUAAGUACAAACCCAAAGCCCUAAUCCCUAAACCUUGAACCCUAAAUCCCUAAACCUUAAACCCUAAACCCUCAAACCUAAAAUCUUAAACCCUAAACCCUAACCCUAAGUCCUAGGGGUCUUGAAGUUGACAUGCCACUACCUGAACCCAUUUAUAAAUUGGUUGGGCCUGAUUUUUGGAUCUUUGUUGAGCAAGUCCUCUUCUCAACUAUGACAGGUUAAUUUUCAAAGGUUGCUAGCAAACUCAUAAAUAAUUAUUAUUGUUAUGGUACAGGGUGGCAUAUUGAUUGAGUUUGAAAGUUAGCGUGUUAAUAUAAGUUAAUGCAAACCCUUUAUGAUGUUUUUUUUGGGGUUCAACUGCCCAAUCCUGUUGAAAAUGUUAUUGUUCAAGAUUGCUUAACUACUGAACCAGUAUGACAUUUUUGUAAUUUAAUUUGACAUCUGAACAAUAAUAUGUUUUCUUGUAGCUGCUAUUCACACCCCCCUCCCCCCUUUUUUUGUCCCACAAGGGGGGGAGCGGGGCUGUCAUGCGAUCACCUAAAUAAUUAAGGAAAUGCUUUUUUUCUCCUAAUUUAUUGCUUGUGAUGUUCUCAAGAGCUUUCGUUCCUAUCAUGCUAUUUCUUGUUUUGUAGAAUAAAGAUGUUGCAGAAGCUAUUCAGAAAGUAGCUGCUGCCUAUGAUUGCAAAGUUGUUGAAGGAGUGCUUAGUCACCAGAUUAAACAGUUCGUCAUUGAUGGAAACAAAGUCGUACUUAGUGUAUCUAAUCCUGAUACCAGAGUUGAUGAUGCAGAGUUUGAGGAGAAUGAAGUCUAUGCAAUUGAUAUAGUCACUAGCACAGGUGAAGGGAAGGUAAUAUUUAUGCUAAUCAAUAUCAUAUGCUGUAUUUCUGCUUCCUUUGUUCUGACAUUGUGAUGAGAGACUAUCCUUAUGUGCAGCCAAGGCUCUUAGACGAGAAACAAACUACUAUCUAUAAAAGAGCUGUGGACAAAAAUUAUCACUUAAAAAUGAAAGCAUCAAGAUUUAUUUUUAGUGAAAUAAAUCAGAAGUUUCCAAUCUUGCCGUUUACUGCAAGGUUUGCUAUUCUUGUCACGUGGUCUUAUAUCUGAAGUUUUCUUCUUCAUAAACUUUUCCCUUUGCCUCCUAGAGCAUUGGAAGAGAAGCGUGCUCGGCUGGGACUAGUAGAGUGUGUCAACCAUGAUCUCUUGCAGCCAUACCCUGUUCUGCAUGAGAAGCCAGGUAAAGAUUUACAUUCAUGCAAACAGUUAAAGCAUCCAAGUAGGUUGAACUCUCAGUUUUGCUUGGUUAUGCCAAGAAUAAUUAUACUGCUGGUUAUGGAACCAUAGUAGAUGCCAAAAGGCAGUAUGAUAUUGUAUUAUGGUUAGUGACUGCGAAAGGAUUCAUCGUGUGAAAUUGAUUUCUACUAAGGUUUUUGACUUAAUGUAGCAGAAUUGGUACUUUUAAUUGCUGAUUACCUCGUGUACCCACUGAAUUUGAAAUCUAGAUGUUGCUGGGGCUGUUAAAGGAGUAAUGACUUUUCUAGUUGGAAGCUUGUCCCAAUUUCUGUAGCAGGAAGCUUUGUAGUUUUUCAUUCCGAAAAACAGGUUGAAUAGAGUCUUUUUAACCAAAUUGUGGACUGCUAUUCCUUGCAGUCUUUGUUUGUUCUCUUUUUCAUAUUAUUAGGAACCAACUACACUUGUUAUUCUGAUUAAACAGGUAUGUUUCAGAUGGUUGAUGUCAUUUAAAUUGACGUACAUUGCAGGAGACCUUGUUGCUCAUAUUAAGUUCACGGUAUUGUUAAUGCCAAACGGGUCUGACAGGAUAACCUCCCAUCCAUUGCAAGAGUUGAAACCUACCAGGUCCAUUGAUGACAAUCCUGAGAUCAAGGCAUGGCUUGCUUUGGGCACAAAAACGAAGAAAAAAGGUGGAGGAAAGAAGAAGAAAGGUGUGUGAUAGGGUGAUUGAUCACCAUUUUCUUUUAGGUCAUGUUUAUUCAUCUUGAAAUUCCUUCUAUCGUUUUAUGCAAAAGUGACCGUUCUCAGAGUUUACCAAUAUGACAUUGCACUUAAGAGUUGGAGCUGCCUAUGUGGCUUGGUGUAUACUGUUUCUUUCUUCUUUUUUUAUGCUUUUGAGAAGAAGUCUGGAAUCUCUGGAUCCUGGUUUCUGUUUUUUCUUUUCUUUUUUUUUUUUAAAGAAAGGGUCUGGAAUCUGUGGAACCAGGUUGUUCUGUUGAAGACUAGAAUCUGGAGAACAUUUGAAGCUGUGUAUUUUUUGUAUCUUUACUCGACUUAUAAAAUGCUACACUUAGUAAUUCAAAUGUCUUUCAUAAAAGUGAGCAAAAGACUGAGCAUUAUGUUACGUACAACUUGGAUCUUAACUGCCCAUUUUAUCUCGUGUAGGUAAAAAAGCUGAAGCUAAAGAUGAUGCAGCAGAGGCAGAACCCAUGGAUGAAGCAUCAGAUGGUCCAGCUUCUCAAGGAUGAGAAAUUACAGUUUUGGUGUUUUCUUCAUUUGCUAUUAGAAUUUUCUAGGUGCCUUCCCAGUCAUCUCAAGAUUUUCAUCACAUUUGGAUGCAAAAAUUCAGGGUGUUUUAAACAUGAGAAAAGAUUGCUGCAUUGAGGAGGUCAGCAAAGCGUCUGCAGGACUAUGGCAUGGUGGCACAAUAAAUUCUUUAUAAUAUGCUGAACGAAUUCUUGUGGGAUGUGUUGGUUUAAAAACAAAAAAAAAGAGGUGCUAAUUCUCUAUUUUGUGUGGGAUGUUUCCUGGAUAUCUCUGGCUGAAUUCCUGUUGUAUGAUGAGCAAAAGAGGUUGUGGAGGCAAAGCUAUUUCAUUUUGACGCUCAUUUUGCUGUUUGUUGGUUAUUUCAGUAAUGAUUAUAGCCUUCUUUGUGGAGUGCAUUUGCCCAGGAAGCAAAUGCAAAAGUAUGAGAUGAGUGAAAUUAAUAGAUUGAACAGAUUGCUGCUUGUAAAAUCCACCAGAGGGGUUCCUAUCGCCAUGCGAGCCCUAACCAGCCUGGUUUAGCUGGUAACCAGGGCAGGCUGCACUGCGGGGUCCUGCAAGCCUCCCUUCCUAAUCCCCCGCUGCUCUCUUGUUUCUCGCCCUUAACAUGGCAGUGUUAUUUUGUGAAAAAUGAGUAUGGAUUAUAUGCAGUGUGUUGUCAAUAUGUUGUAACUUUGGGUUGCUAUAUUUACAUUUUCUUCAAUUAAUAUAAAGUUGCCCUUUUGAUCUUUAUUCUGCCUUAAUUGCCUCUCAUCCAUUACUUGGACAAUUUCUUAACCUUUCCCCUUCUCCUUCCUUGCACAUCACCUCAUCGGCCACACCGCCAUCUUGAACCGUGCGAUUUGGAGUAUACCGAGUCAUACCAAUAGUAGACUGAGAUGGUUAGAGAGGAGAGUAGGGGGAAGGAAGGAGAGAAAGGCCCUGUUUGGGGGAGCUGUUGGCAGUAGAGCUGUUAGAAGUAGAGCUGUUAUAAAAAGCUUUUUGAUGUUUGGUAACUAUAUUCGUAAAGUGCUGUGGUACUUUAUUUGGUGUUUGGUAAGCAAACUGAGAAAGUACUUUUGUAUGACAAAAUUACCAUAAAGGACAUUGCAUAAUAUUAUACAACAGAACAUAAUAAAACAUAACAUAAAUUAAUACAUAAAUAUACGAUAUAGUAUAAUAUUAUUAUAAUAUAAAAUAAUAUUAUGUUAAUAUAGCAUAAUAGUAAUAUAAUUAUUAGAGUAAAUUAAUAUUUAGUAAUAUAACAUAAUAUUAAAUUAUUUAACAUAACAUAUUAAUGUAUUAUGAUAUAAUGUAAUAUAUAUUAUAUUUAUAGUGUAAUAAAAUAAUAAAAGUAUAAAAUAUUAUAAUUAUUAGUAUAAAUUAAUUUCUCAUAAUAUAACAUAAUAUUAAAUUAUUUAAAAUAACAUAUUAAUGUAUUAUAAUGUAAUGUAAUAUAAUACAAUAUUUAUAGUAUAAUAUAAUAAUAAAGGUAUAAAAUAUUAUAAUUAUUAGUAUAAAUUAAUUUUUCAUAAUAUAACGNNNNNNNNNNNNNNNNNNNNAUAAAGAAGUCAUGCAAGAGAAAUAUGAUGAUCUUCACUAUGUAUAUAUAACUGUCUUCUGUUAAAUAACAGUUGAUGGAUAGGACAUAAGCAGUAAAUUCUAGCAGCCCCUGGUAUCUAGUGGUAAGCAUCUUUGCGUGACAUCAAAGCACUCUGUUCCGGAGGAAAAAAACCGCAUAUAUAUUCCUAGCACGUACCCCAAGCCCGCUUUCCCUUCUAAAGAAUUAUUUUUCAUUCCAGUUUAUUACAGAGGCUGCAUGAGUGCCCAAGCACCAAAAAUCUCUUCCAUAUAAUGAACUUAUAAUGGGUGAUUUCUAGUGACUUCCCAAAAUUUGUCUCCAUGUUUGUUUGAUGAUGUGCAACCCUUACAGUUAAAAAGAGUUAAACAUAACUGUGUGUUUUUCAUUGCUUGCCUCCUGCUUAGUAUUCAUUUAACUUUGAUCCUUUGGUUUUUUGUUUUUUUUGCUUAAUAUUCAAGUCAGUUAUCCAUCUAUUCUCCAGAGUAUGAAUCUACUGUAUAAGCACGUAUUAUCAUUUUUAAGCAAGGACAACAUAAUUAUUUAUCUACUCUCUUAUAUCAGUUUUCUUUAAAAUAAAUAUUUUAAUCAUACAAUUUCCAUAUGCGUUAUGUACCCCGUCAGCCCAUUAGUUUUCCUCACAACACAAUAUCAAAAAUUUUACGGGGAGCAUCCCUUAAACAUAUUGUAUAUGUAAUUCUUUAUUUCGUGCCACGUGUAUGUUUCACAAAUUUUACAGGUACACGUGCUUCAGAUAGAACAGACCCCAUCCACUCUGUCGAACGAUAUUUAUUUCCAUCUUAUUUUCGGGAAUCUUAGAAAUGUCAGGGACGGCCACAUAAUAUUGAACAAGACAAGGGGUUAAUCAUAAAUUUCUCCCGCCAUUCACUUCUAGCCGUCUAACUUCUGUAUGAUAAAAUAAAACCCUAGCACCAUCCCCUCACUCUCACGUCACGCUUGCCUGCCCAUCGCUGCUCGCGUCUCCCGCUGCAGCGUAUUUCGUUUUCUCUUUCGAUCUCCACUGCUCGCCGCCAUGGCCAGCACGGAUCCCGAGCGCAGAGACGAAGGGGAGACUGAGGCCGCCGGCGGCGACGACGAGGACACCGGCGCCCAGGUCGCCCCCAUCGUCCGGCUCGAGGAGGUCGCCGUCACCACCGGCGAGGAGGACGAAGACUCCCUUCUCGACCUGUAAGCCCCGAUCACCUCUCCUCCCCUCACGUCCAGUUUUUUUCACGUGAGAUCCUAGGGUUUCACCUUCCAAACAUGAUCGGUUCUUGAUUUCAGGAAGGCGAAGCUCUACCGAUUCGACAAAGAGGGGAACCAGUGGAAGGAGCGGGGCCAUGGGAGCGUGAAGCUUCUGAAGCACAACGAGACGGGAAAGGUCCGGCUGGUCAUGAGGCAGGCCAAGACUCUUAAAAUCUGUGCCAAUCAUCUAGGUCUUUGUCUUGUUCCUGUAUUAUACCUUUGAUUAAUGAUUUAAUUUUUAUCUCUGAUGUAUGGAAUUGUCCCUUGUUUUUUUGCUUGAUUCUGGUCGGCAGUUCUUCCAACGACUAAGAUGCAGGAGCAUGCUGGGAAUGAUAAAUCCUGCGUGUGGCAUGCCACGGAUUUUUCCGAUGGCGAACUGAAGGAGGAGAUGUUUGCUAUUCGCUUUGGAUCUGUAGAAAGUGAGUGUCCUUUGAUUUCUAUGUUUACUUUCCUCACAGUUGUAAAAUAGGAACUUCUUCUAAUUGGAUGCUUCUAUGUUGAAGACUGUGUAGUCUUAGUUCUGUCUUCUAUUCCCGAUAGCAGGGAGGUGAUUGUAGAGUUUGUUUAGUAGUAUCUAUCUCAAGUUUGCUAUCUAUUUAAGUGCCUGAUGCAUGUGAUGAUAUCGGGAUGGACUGGUUUCUUUUUUCCCCAGUGUUCAGAAUAUUAUUCCUAUGUUUUCAGGAGCACAUAAAUACUUCCCCCCCCCCCCAAUCCAAAGUGUAUUUGCAUAAGAAAAGUUUGAGCGGACAAUAGGUGUCUAGGGCUACUUGGACGCAUUUGAAAUUUGUUAUGCGAGCAUUAUAGAAAAGAUACAGGUGGGUGCUUGUAAAUUAUGGUAAUAAUGUCGACGUCCUGAACUAGUAUGUAAAACUAAUCUAUGCGGUUAAUCUCUAGAAGAUUGCAGCAUAUUUGGAAUCUUUGUAAUAAUUGUAAACCAUUCUGUGAUACUGUCCAAAUAAAAUCGUGAUGCCAUUGGUAAUUGAUAUCUUUUAUUUCAAGGCAUUGCUUGAAUAUGUUAUGCCAGCUGUAUUCUCAAUAUGAUGAGCUAAUGAAAAAAAUCUUUUUGUUUAUUUAGUCUUAUCGUGGAGGAUACUAUUUAUCUUGAAAUAUAAUUUUAGUAGGAAUUUCUCUUUAUUUUUUUAUAUGAGUUAUGCCUUGACAUAUUUAAUGGCUACUGCUUUUAGUAAGAUGGAAGGAAAAUGGUUAUUACUGGCAAUUUUAGUAAGUAUACAUAUUCAGUUGAUAGCCUCUGCCUAUUUAGAUUCAUAGCCAGAAUUAUAACCAAAAACCUUACAACAUAUGUUGGUUUUUUCAAUCCUUGUCUUUGUUUCAUUUGUAUUGUUGGCUUGACAAAUCCUUUACAUGGCUUCCAUGUUGGGUUCUUGCUUCUAUUCAUUUAUUACCCCUUUGAAAUAAUUAAACUCUUCAUCAUGCUUAGAGCUGUCUCUCGCUCUCUCUCUCUCUCUGUUUUGUUAAUCAUAUAGUUUUUCCAUGUAUAACGAUAAGUAUCAAUUUCUUUAUUUCUUAAUCUUCUCCUGGUGCAAUUUUUAAGCUUCCUGCAGUAUAUUCAUGUAUAAUUUUAUCUGUCAACCCACCUUAACUUUCACAUGUUUGCAACUUCCAUUGCUUUUUGACACCUUUCAUUGCCCAGCAUUCUGAUUUAUGUGACAUUUCUCAUGCUAUUUGUACGGAUUCUCGCUGGCAUAUCCCUUUGCUUUGCUAUAACUCUGUUAUUAAAAUUCUUUAGUUUUCUUCAUUGUUUUUGCGCAAUAGAUCCAGAAUUAUUUAACUAGUUACUUUGCUGUGUUCAAGAUCUGUUGGUUUGUGGCCCAUCUCCAUGGUAUCUCUGGGAGUUUAUGUGUAUUUACUUCUUAUUGUGUCUCCACAUUGGAUAUAUGUUAGACUUGUGUGAUAACUCGUCAUGUUUGCUAUGAAUGAACUUCACGUGUGUGACCAUGCAAACAUCCUGUGAUUUCUUUCCUAGGUGCUUAUCUGGUGUUUUAUGUUUCAUUCUAAGACUAUUUAAUAUUCAUGUGCAAUUGAUCACCAUUUCGCUAAGUCUAAUCAUGAUCCAACCAGUACUAUAUUGCUAUCUAUGUUUGUCUCCAGUUUCUGAGGCAUAAUAUUGUGUAUAUAUCACAUUUUAUCUUGGAAAAUUGAAUAUAACUAUCCUUCUUCGCCACACAAUUUCAUGCAAUUUUAGAUGUCAUUCUCUUUCUGAUUAAUUUGUUGUUUAUGAUACCUACUUAGACAUCAAUAAAUGGAACAGGUUCUUGCUAUACUUUAACUCUUGCCAUUAUUGUCAUCAACCACACCAGUAGAGUGGUUUUCUUAUUGAUUAUUUUACUUUCUUUGUUGUUAUUUUUUUUUAUUUUGAAAAUUUAGUGAGUAGGAAGCAAAUCAUCCAAGAGGAGAGGAUUAAGUUUACACAGGACCAGCUAAAUAAAUAUGGGUCACCUCGUGUGUUUUGGGCAAAAAUUAGAAUUUGUUUAUGUGAUCCAAAUUGCAUUAAAAUCUUAAAUCCAUAUUAUGAGCGGCCAGUACCUAGGAUGUUAUGUAUUUAUCCAUCUUGGCAUAUUGUGUUCAUUAGAACACCAAUCUCAUAAUGGAUUUAGUCAGUUCAAUAGGUGUUGAACUUAUGCCACACUUCACCAUUUCCUCAUACCUACUGGCAUUACUUUUCUGCGAGCAAAUAAAUGCAGUUUAGCCUCCAUCUGGGGGACGGCGGCUAUUCUGCUUUGUCUCUUGUGCAAUUAGGAAGAUACUUAAAGUUUUGUCAAUUCUCAGUUUUUCGUGCUAUAUGAGGCCUAUUACUGUAUUUGUUGAGCAUUACAACCAAGUAUUUGGAUGCACUGUUUGUAUAUGGUCAGUUUGUUGGAAGAUGUGAUAAAGAGGUGGCAACAUUUGUCUUUUAGUAGUUUCUAUCACUUGUAUAAACGUAAGAAGCAAGCAUCGGUCCAUCUUCUUUGAAUCCAUUAAAGAGAUGAUGUGGUUAUUUGAAUAUGGUUUCAAAUGGUGUAACAUCAUUAUACUUUCUCAAUUUAAGCUGUCUUGUUGCUGUUUGCAAUCAAAAUAAUUGCUCAAAGAAACACAGUGGUUUUCUGUGAGCUAUGAACUUAUACUUGCUGGAAACUCAUCUUCUGCUAAAAUUAUGGGUCACUGAAAUUUGUAUGAGGAACUAUUUACGUUAAAUUCUUUGCAAUUAUAUGCUGCAAUGUUUUUGCAAACUGAACUGGACACAGUCAUCUCAUGUCUUGUUCAUUGAACUUUUAUGUAUGGGUUGUUAAAAUGAUUGUUUAGAUGCCUCGCAACUACGAUGACAACUAUGUUUUAUAGGCAUGUAUCAUUCAUACAAUUGGAGAAGCCAUACGAGUUAAACUGGUGAUAUAAGAUACAUAUCUGUAAAGGAGCUAGUAAUACAAAGGCUUAUGAGUCUUUUGGGGAGUUUCUAUUCAAGUAGUAGCAUUGUCUUGUAUCACUAGUAUUGACUUUAUGAUUCACACCCAAGAAUCUCCAGAUGAAAUGGCGUGCUUGAAUGAACUAAUAUAUAGGUGAGUGCACAAGGUUUUGCAUUUUCAUUGUGAAAUUAGUAUUUUUAUUUUACUAUUAAGUAGAAGGAUUAUGUUAUUUGUUCUCUUAGGAAAGUGGGUUCAAGUCAGUUUAUGCAUUAUCUGUUAGAAGCCGGGUUGCUAAUAAGAAAUGCCUUAAGGUUUUUUUAUGAAAAUCUUUUAACUUUAAUCUUUAUUAGCUCUUAAUACUCAAAUCAGUCUUCCAUUUCAUGGGUUCCUUUUUAGAAGGUGUUACUGCUGCCAUGAUCAUAGCCAACAAACCUGGUCCUUAUGGGUAUUAUGAGAAAUUCAUGCUAGUCCAGAAUCAGGAACUAGAUGGAUCAUGAGCUAUUUCAGAAUGUUGUUCAAUGAUCUGUUUUCUUUAGGCAAGAUGUAAUUAGGAAAAGUAUGUGGUUAGAGGUAGAGAUAUAUAUCGGUAAAUCUUGUUAAUUAUGCUUUGUGGAACUUUCAAAGCUAUCUACUUCAUCUUAAAUUGGAAAAUUCUUCAUAAUUUGCAUCAUAAGACUUUUUCAUUAAAUCAACGUUUAUAUGUUACUAUAAUAUACAAAAGGUUCCUUUUCCUUAUAUUUUUUGUCUUCCAGAAGGUAUUGUGGGUAAGCAUUUCAUUUUUUCUAAUAAAAACUUUGAUUUAAAAAUGGGUUUCAUUUGCUCACCUAUGACAUGGAAGUUGCACUUGUAGUAUAAUGAUUCAUUCCUCUGUUGGACCUGUUCAACCUAAUUGUUGAAGAACUGUGAAAUGUGUUAGAAGCUUUAAGGAAGAAAAUACAAGGGAAGGAUAGGAAGAAUGAAAGGAACAAAUACUUUUAUGAAGGAUUACUUUCUAUUCAGUUUUGGUGUUUCUUCUUCAUAAUCUGAUGCCCAUGGUGAAGAUUCUCAGCCAGAACCUUUGAGAUUGGAUUUGCAGCAUGUAUACAGUAAUAUUGCAUUUGCAACAAAUAAUUGCAAUCACUACAUGCUGUGUCUAAGUGAAUAUUUUACAUGAGAAAAUCAGUACUGACAUUCCAAGGACAUUGUGUUUUCACGAUAAUUUAGGUGGAUGCAUGAGUAAAUUGAACAGAAAAAAUCAUACAGUAGGACUUCCAGGUUGCAGAAAUGAUGUAUAGAUAGCCGGAAUUUGAGUUUGCUAUGGUUAUGUAUUUACAAAGGGGGACUGAAUUAUGAUUUGUAAAGGAGAGGGGUUUGGAUUUUCCCUUGAUGAUCAGAGAGGAGAUAAAUCUAGGAGUGCAUGAUGACAGCUUUGAUGAAUGACUUGAUGGCAUCACUGGAUGACUCGGAGAAUUAUUCAGAAAGCCAACCCUUGAUAUUUACAUUGUGCAGCCAUGUGUAACGGCACUUUGGAAGAUCAUUUGUGAUUCUGUCCUCAAGGAUUCUAAUUCUACUUAAGCAUGCUUUUUAAACAUGUUGAAGGUAAACUGAGAGAUGUAGAGUUGUUUUGCCCUGAUAAGGAAAACAGGUCAGCUUUGAGUCUGAAUCCUAAACUUUAGCUUAUUGGAUCCACAUAAGUCAACCAGCUUUGCAACAUUAGUUGCAGCUACCCUGCUUUUGUAGUGCAUGAGUUUAUGAUUUUGCCCAACCUGUUGUGUUUUGCAUUCUGUUUUCUUGAUUUUGUGCUGGUUGACUACGUAAAUUCUUGCAAUUCCAUUAGUUGCAUUCCUUUAUAUGUAGUGUUGUAUCAUUUUCUUGAAACUUGUAUAUUCCAUCAAUGAUAUAGUCUGUAAUUUUUUUUUUGUAAGACUGCAAGAAAUUCAUGGAAAAGGUUGAAGAGAUUGCUGAAUCACUCGGCAAAAAUGAAGAGAAAGAGAGUAAGGAUGCCUCAGCUGCUGCUGGUCUUAUGGAAAAGUUGACUGUCGGUGAAAGCAAAACCGAGGAAAAUGCAAAAAAAGAGGUGCCUAUUGCUGCUGAUGAAAAGAAGGAAGAAGAGAAACCAAAGACAGAAACAAAAGCUGAAGAACCAUCUUCUGCAGCUUAGGCCUGAUGGUGUUAUGCUUUUGAAGAGCACAUUAUAUAUUUUCCUCACCUUCUCUUUAGGGUUUGUGGUCUAUCUUCACAAACUUCUUAGUUAUAUCAGAGACUGGAAAGUGGGACAAAAUGUGAUCAGAUAGAAUGGCCGAGUCAGUCUGUCUUCAGAGUCAGUUGUCUGAAAUCUUGUCAUGUAAUUAGUUGCUCAAACUUUCAAUGCUCUUUUUAAAGGUCAGGUCUGGUGAGUGAGGGAAUGGUUGGCAUCUUGGAUAUAUCUGUUUUAAUGUUUGUUUGGUUUUGUGAUGGUCAUCUGUAAGUUUGUCCAGUUUUUGCGUAUUGGGCUGCAUGUCUUUUGAUUCUCCAUUUUGAUACCUGAAUAGGGCUUCAAUGGAAUGUAGUGCAAUUGUUGGAACACUUCAAACUUUCCACAUUGGAUUGGAAAUAAAAUGAUGAUUUUAUUUGAGUCACUUUUGAUCAAAAUUUUUUGCUCAUGCUUAGAAUUUCAUCAUCCAAGUUGGUUAUAUACCCAUCCAAUAUUUAUCUGAAAUUUCAGCCUUUCUUCUAUAUCCCCUUCCUUUUUUUCUUAGACAUCCAUUAUAGAUGCCAGAUUUUAGUUGGUAAUUACAUGCUCUUGUAUCUGCCAUGCUAUAUAUAAUGAUAAUGUGUAAUGUUUUUAGUUUUUCUUUCCAAAACUUUUUUUCGAUUCCACCUAUGGUAUUUCAAUUUAUUUUUUAUGCCUUUGAUAUCGUUGUUUUGCUUUAGAAUACUGGUAGUACUGUUUAUUCGGGAUCUCCAUACUGCUUAUGGAGCUUGAUGAUAUUUUGUCUAGUCAUAAGCAUUAGGCCCAAUUUGGUAUUGCUUUUGAAGGGGCAAAUAGUGCUUCUUAGUGGGCUAAAAGCACUUUUGAAUGAUUUUGUGGUAUGUGAUAAAAAGUUUGAAACAGCUUUCUAAUUCCUCUAAAAACUGAAGAUAGGAAAAUGCUUCAAUUGGGAGUUUUUAGGCACAAGUUAUGUUUAAGACAUUGAAUUUUUUUUAAAAGAAAAGCUUACCAGAGAGAUUUAAAGUCUCGGCAAAAAAAAAUAAUAAUAAUUUAAAAUAUUUUUUAUUGUGAUGAUUAUUUAUGUUUUUCAAUGUUUGCAACAUGAAUAUUACAAAAUAUUUGUGCACAUAUAUAUUGCUAUUAUGGCCGUGGAUAUGUGAGCAAUUGUAUUGCCACUUUAUAGUUAGGUGACAAAGUCAAACAUUUAUGUGAUUAUAAGAAUCAAGAACUACCUAGUUUACUAUUAUGAUAUUUUUUGUUGCUUGAUAAUUACAGAUAAAAAAAUUUAUUAUUUAUUAAAGUAUUUAGAUUGUAAUAUAAAAAUAAUUUAUAAAUUAAUAAUAUUUAUAAUAAUAGUUUUAAUAGUAUAAUGAUUAUAUUAUAUUAUAUUAUAUGAUAAUAUAAUAAUAUAAUAAUAUUAUAAAUUGAGUUUUUGAUAGUAUGAACAACCAAGUAAUUGAAAUAUUAUAUGAUUUUCUUUACCAUCAUUUUUGAUAUUAAACGUGCUUUUUUAAUUUGAUUACCAAAUAAAUGUUAGAGUUUCAUUGUACUUCACAAAUGUAGCUAGCAAAUAGUAAACAACGUUUUACUAAAGCUUUAUUAACAAUAUCUCUAUUACUAAAAGCUUUAUAGAUAAAAAUUUUACUAUCUACAAUAAUGCCAAAUGGGGCCUUAGUUUGGCAAUGCAGUCAAUGGUGCCAUUAGUUCUGUAUUAGGUAAAAAUGUUAGUGGUCAAAAAUAUUAGAGGUGGAGGUCAAAGGUGGUGCUAGCAGCGAUGACGACGAACCAGCAUGAAAAUGAAUAAACUGAUUCCUUUAACUUGUUUAUCUUUAGCACUCUCUCUUGUCUCUCUCGGCUUGUUUAACUUUGGUUGAUGCAAUAGCAUGCUUAUGCUUUGAUAAGAGUUUGUUCAGCCAAGGUCGUUUAAUGAACCACAUCAGCAAUAGCAUAGCCAUAGUAAUUCUAUGAUAUCCAAUCAUAUAUAUUUGAUCCUAAUUUCAUGAGUUUUGAACAAUUGCAGAAUUCUUGCAAGGAAGAUGAUUCUCUGAUUUCAAAUCAUGAUUAAAUGAAGUUCUCAAAGCAGAAUGUAAAAUCAAGGAUCCAAAAUAAGUGCUGUUUGACCUUUUUAUGAAAGUCUUGAUAUUUCCAUAUAUGAACAUUUAUAACUUCACCAUUGACCUCAGUUGAAAAGCUACAUCUUUCAUGAGAAAUUAUACCCUACAUCAGGUACAUCACGCUAGUCAAAUCUUUUGUUUCUACGAGCCUUAUUUAUCAUGCAUCUCAUUUUGGAGAAAUUAUUAGAUGAACCAAGUUCAGUAGAUUAGUCCAAUGGUCUAAAAUUGUUACAUUAUCAUCUCAGAUUGUUUGUGUGGUUCACUGCUGAGAUGAUGCACCUGGUGUAGAGUAUAAUUUGUGCCGUCCUCUUAUUUUAGAUUGUCUAUGUGGCUCAUUGCUGAUAUGAUGCAUUUGGUGUAGGGUAUAAUUUGUGCACCUACCACCCUCAAAAGGUGUCUCUCAUUUGACCGCCAAAAGCACUCCCGAAGUCCCUAGGGGCGGACAUAUCACCCCUUAAUCAUUAUUUUCAUUAAAUCAAGAACAAUACUACGAUUUAUUACACUAAUCUCCCUUACGUCUUUUUAUUACCCAAAAUACCUCGGAUCGGCUGUCGAAGGAGGGGCUUACCGUGAAAUACCCAAAAUUUGUGGUUCUUUUUAUGUGUGUUAUUCUUUCUUCCUUUCUAUUCCGAAAUUACACCUCGCUCUUCUUCGUUUCCGAUCCUUCCAUUCGACAGACUGAUAUACACUGCUCCUACCGAUAAUAACUCUAAUAAGUAGGAGAAAAAGAAAGGGAGGAAAAAAAAAUCCAAAACCCCUAUUCUUCUCUCGCGACGAUCGCCUUCGUUCCCACCUGCUCUGAGGUGAGUCUCGUCUUUGAUUGCUUCUCUUUCAGAUUUUCUUUCUAAGCAAAACGCUGGAAUCUUAUCUUUUCUCUCCAAUCUCUUCGAUCAAAUAGAUGAAGUUUCCUCUUUUUUUGGGGCUUUAGUUGCUUUUAUGAUGGGUUUUCUUAGUUGUGAUAUAUUUACGUCAGUGCGGAUUCAUCUUCUGCUAGGGUUUUUUGUAGCUUUGAUUAUGAGAAAUUUUGAUGCGGUUUGAGCUGGUUAGGGAAUUUAUUUUUAAGGUUUUCCAGUUUUAUUUUUAAAGCAGUUGAUGCUAAAGAUCGGCAGACAGUCACUUAUUAACGCGUGCUUUAGAGGGUUCAUGUUAUAUGAGUACCUUUAGUAGCUUUUUUUCAUCUUUGUUAAAUGGUAUGCGAUUGUACGUUCUCGGGUUUGAUUUGAUAGGGGCAAGGAGUAUUGUAAAUUAUGGGUUUCAUGUGGGGCCAAACAGAGUCGGAUUAUGAUAAUUGGGCUAUGUUAAUGCACUACUGUUUUCGUGAGAGUGAUUCAGACCUUCUGCGAGAAGAUCGAAUGAUUUUGUUUUGUUUUGUUCUUUUUUCUUUGUUCUUCUACUCAUCAUGUUAAUUCGCUUGCUGAUAUGUUGCUGUUCGGAGAGUGCUUGGUAGGCUAUUAUGGAAGGAACUUUCUAUAUGUCAACUGAGUCCGGUUUUCUGUUGAAUCUGUUCGUCAUGACUAGAGAUCCACUGAAAAGCCAGGAAAAGAAAAGAAAAGAAGAUAACAGUUAUUCUGAAUUAGAGGAAAAAUCAUUGAACUAUAAUGCACUGUUUGUUUUUUAGUUGUCUUUUUUGUGCUGUAAAUUCCAUUUCAGCACAUUUUACUUUUCACUUGUUUCUUCUUCUGUCUUUCUCCUUGCCUUCAACAUCUAGGUGUGUCUACCUAAUUGGAUUUGGUGCUUUUAGAUUGGGGCUUGAAGUUCAUAAUGCUCUUUUUUUUCUGAGCUUGCAUUGAUAUUCGACAGAUGUGCUGGUUUUUCUGUUCAGCCUAGCCAUCCUGUGAUCUUGGCUUCAAUGGUUAUAAGCUUUUGGUCGUUCCUUCAUUUCAUGUGCCAACCUCUUUACCAUUUUAGUAUGUUAGAGACCCUGAAGAUAUCAAAGGAAUGGCAGCUACUAGCAAAUUCCAUUUAUCUUCCAGCAGCCCUGAUGGGACCACCUACAUGAAUGGGAAAUAUGGACCAUAUGCAGCUGGUUCAAUGGAAAGGUCAGGAAGCAUCCGUGAAGGCAUGGAUAGCCGACUCCCAUCGUCACUUCCAAGCACAUUGAGGUCUGGUUUGGUAUCAUCCCAAGGUGACACAGUCGCUUCGUUUCAGUCUCUUCUUGUUGACCUGAGAGCGAUCGAUCAAAAGCUCCCUCGAACAAGCGACCUUGAGAUGGGCUCUAUUGUUGGCAUCUCCUCAGAAGAAUCUUUGCCUGCAACAUUUAAUACAAGGCAUUUAACUUCUUCAUCCAUGGAGGAGAUCAAACGCACAAAGAGUAAUCUUCAUGAGGGCACUACAAGGGCAAGGUAUUUCUGCCUCCCUCCUUCCCUCUCUCUCUCACUCUUUCUCCCUUAUAAAAAAGUUUUACAUUAUUAAGUAGCUGAAAUAUUUAUCCUAAUGAUAUUUCACAAAUUUCUUCUUUCUUUAUUGACAUUAUAUGGUUCAGUUUCCAUCUUUAUUGUGAUGUCAAUGUAACAAACAUGACUUUCCCUACUUAUGUUCUUAUGAUUUUUUCCCACAUUGUGCCAUGUGAUUCUAGUUGACGUUUUACUUUCCUCAACUAGUUUACAUUGGACUCUGUUUGCUCAUCCAUUGCUAUCAUAACACUUUUUGCCAUUUAUAUUUUUACAUCGUGGAUUCUUAGAUCAAAUGAGCUCUAAGUUAGUCUCCGAUGUUCGAAUUGAUAGGGAUCGAGCAAAAGCCUGCAGUGAGGCUGCUUUGAAAAUUGAUAAGUAUUGCAACACUCUUUCAAAAAAACAUUCCAGAGCUGAUACUUCAUCAAAUGAGCGGUGUGGUACAUCGACAUCAAGAGGAAGCAUCCCUAAGACUAACCCUCAAAGCCAUCUGACUUCACGUGGUCUCGACCUUGGGCCUCGGAAAUCAGAAGAAAGGUCCAAGAGCACUGUACUAAACAGACGAAUUCGAACUUCUAUGGUGGAACCAAACAGACGAAUUCGAACUUCUAUGGUGGAAGUAUGGGUUUGUAUCUCCUUCUUGCCUUUCCUUGAUUGUGAUUAUGUCAUAUAUAUGUAUUUUAGUUGCCUGUGCAGACAAGAAUAUGGUUAGUUCAUUUGUCACGAUACUUUAUUUUUCCAUGCAUUAUAAAUGGUACAUGUUGUUAACUGAUAUAUUUUGUAAAUUCUCAUUACGUUUUAUGUGCAGAAGAAAAUGAAAUUGUUUUUUCUUUACUGUAAUAUCCUGUUAAUCAAUUUCUUGAUUCUUGAAGAAUAGUGCCAAGUAGGAUUAACUGUUAUAGGUUAUUUGCUCUGGAUUCUAUGCAGGUUGAGUUGCACUAUAGAAGUUAUUUGUCAAUCUUUGCAUGGAGAAUCUCCCUUUUAUAGUGAUUUCAGAUCAUCUGUUUCUUUUUUACUGAUGGACUUACGUAUUAUAUUGAUUGGUUAGAUGGAUGUAAGGGCCAAUGGUAUUGCGAGACCAUCUUCACCGGUGAAUAAGGAUAGAGAUGCCAGUAUACUUGUAAAUGAUGGCAUGGCAUUAUCAGAAGACAAGGGCCGAGAAAUAUUUACCAGUGUUGAUGGCUGGGAAAAAUCAAAGAUGAAGAAAAAACGCUCUGUCAUAAAGUCUGAUGUUUCUGCAAUUGCACCUUUGACUAGAUUGCCGGAUGCUGAUAGAGAACCCAAACGAGGAAUGCAGCAGAAGCUUGGUACUGAUGCUCGACCAAGGGCGAAUAAUGCCCAUGGCUUCAGGUUUGAUACUAUACCAUGCAACUUGAUUGCACCUUGUAUCAUUAUGUCAUCACUUAUGAAUCUUAAUUGUUUGAUUAAGCUUGUUAGUCGCUUGAUAGAAAAAACUUGUUGCAAUGUUGAGAUAGUAUCUAAGUCACAUUUAGCUUCAGCUCAAGUUUUGGAGUCUCGACAGGAUGGGGGGCAUCCUGGCCAUCCCAUCUCAUUCCUGUGAGAUAAUGGGACCUGGGAUGGAUGCAAGGCUCUGAAACCCAUAUCCGCGGGCCAUCUCACCCAUCCUGCCUUCGUACCAAGUAGGUCGCACACCGAAAUGGGCGAUUCGUCCAUCUAUCCUAGUGGAGAGAAAUUAAAAAAUUAAAAUAAAUCUUUCUCCAACCAAUAAUCAUAUCUUUCUUCUCAAAAACCUCAAACAUUCUCGUUGAGCUACGUCCAUGACUUCCAUUGUCGGAGGUGCCUUGCCAUUGCCACCGCUAACUGCUGGUCCACCUCGCGAUUGAGGGUGCCAUCAAGGAAGCAACAGAAGUUGAGAGUGGAUGUUCCAGAUCCAGCGACCAACAUCCUCCGUGAGUGUCGAAGGGGUAGAGAGAGGAAGAAGCGAAGUGAUCCAUGGGAGGGAAGGAGGGAGGAGGAGAAGCAAGGAAAGAAAAAGGGGGACGGAGAAUGGAAGCUUCUGGAUGGGGCAAGAAACUUUUUUUCUGUUUUUUUUUUAAAGUACGCAGAUCUAAAUGUUUUAAGUUAAUCAUUAUCUACGCUUUUAGGUCAUGCUUAGCGGUUGGCUCGAGUGGUUGGGGGUGAGACUUAACACCAUGCAUAUGUCUAUGUGCACGAGUUCAUAAAUUUUUUUCCGCAAAAUAAUAUUAUAUAAAAAGCCAAAAAAUAUUAAAACAUAAAAAAUAUUAGAAGAUAUUAAUUUUUUCCUCAAAAUAACAUUAUUUUAAAAAUAAAAAUAUAAAAAAGGAAUAUAUUAUAUAUAUAACAUCAUAUAUUCUUAAAAAUAAUAUUGUAUAAAAAUAAAAAAAAAUGAUCAUCCUGCUUUUUAACAACAAUAAUUUCAAACUUAUAAGAAUGGGUCACUAUGUUAAUUGAUUGGCGAAAUAAUUUAAGAAAAUUAAGCAACAAUAAAAUAAUUAUGUAGAUACACUUAAGGUUAUUUUGUUAUACAAUAUGACAGUCUUGGUUACCUUAUUGCCACUCAUGUGGCACCUAAGCAUCAAUUUGUAAAUUUCAACACUAGAGUACUAAAGGUGAAGUGAGUGGUUAUGUGACUGAGCUUUGUGCAGUAAUUAUUGCCACAUUUUCCAUCAAAUCGUAUCAUUUUUGUCUUAUGAAGCGCUUAUGCAGUAUCAUUACUAGGUAAUCAAAGAAGGAUCUCCAAUAUUCUAGAAAGCCACGAUAAAUUAUAGUGUCAGUUUAAAAUAUAUGAACUAGAUAACACAUUCAGAAAGUGUCAGAAUAUUUAAUCAUAAAGUUUUGGCACAUGAUGGAUCAAUAUAAAUAGAUUGCCUUAGCUUACAAAUAUUUGUUGUAAUGAAAUCUAACAGUAGCAAAUCUUAAUGCAACCUAGUCAACAUUGAUCAAUAUUAGCUGGCAUUGUUUGAUCAACAAAGAAACACUAAUAAGCAGUAUUCAGAUAAUUAUAUUUCCAUUUGUAUAGCUUCUCACUGUAGAUAAUUAUAUUUCCAUUCAGAUAAUAAGCAGUAUUCAGAAACACAGUCAAUUUAUCUUAAAUAUAUUACUUUUAAAGUUCAAAUAUGUUUCAAAAUAAAUAAAACAGUAAAACUUCACAAAUAAAUUAAGAAAGAAAUGAAAAAUAUAAAAAAAGCAUCCUAAGCAAGUACUAGGAUGCUCGAUCGGGAUGGCUGCUAGAAGGAUACAGGACGGGGGCAUCGUGUUCUGUGGGGAAAUUGGGACACCUAUGUCCUAUGGGACCUUGCUUCGGCUUCUUCUCAUAUCUAGAAAAUAAAUCUCUUUCCUAAAAAACAUUAUCUAUGAGCUGUAUUAAAAUAUUAAAUUAAACUUGCCACAUUGGGCAAGUGUCACUAGCAUCAUUACGCAGCUAUGGCAAUUAUUAUAAAAUUUUUGGAUAGGGCAAUACACUGCUUUAGAGAACAUGUAUGCUUAUUGUUUCUACACAUCAAGGGACAUCUUUCAAGUUUUAGUGACAAUUAGACCCAUGGUGCCAAAUUCCUGUCUGAGGUAAGGCAAGAGGUGGGCCUAAAACUAUAGACACAGUUGGCUCGUAGGUGGUCUACAUUAUUUGCUGUGGGUUAAGCUCCAUUAUCCCUCCCAAGAUGCUGUAAACUUUGAAAGAGUCUAGACAAAGUGGGAAGUUAACUUUUGAUAUCAGAAGCUGUGUCAAUUGCUAGAGCAAAGUUAAGCCAAGUAGCCAAAUAAGAGGCAUAUCAAUACAUACACACAUGUGAAGGGUUGGACUACACACUUUCUAUUUUCAUACUGUAUUUAGCCAUUUUUCACAAUUUAAGUGCACUCAACUUUAUUCAAAGAAAAUUGCCAAUAAUUUAAUGAACGUACCCCAUUCCUCUACAAGUAUAUUAGCUUCUAUGCACACAUGUAAAUAGAUAGAUAGGAGGACACCCAUAUAUUUUCAAUAGACAUGCCAACAUGUAUAUGUUCACUUAAGAUUUGUGAUACAUGUGCUAAUUAAAGAAAAUAUAUAGGAAUGUAAUUGUAGUUGAAUUUUUUAUGAUGCCUACAUUUUGUUCAAAAUGGUAGGAUAUAUUAAAAUAUAUGUUAUUUUGCUAUUAUUUAUAAAGAAUGAAAAGAUAGAUGGGUUGCUUUAGUAAAACUAGAGUGAGGUGGAUGAAAUGUUGAUAUAGUUCGUUUCAACUGUAGUGUGUUUCAUGGGGUGCCUGUCUUCAGUCAUCUAUUAUCACUCGAAACCUGGCUUGUGUGAUUCGGUCUUCUGAAUUAAUCUGGCUUAAUCAUCUGGGAUUCGCUUAUUUUGUUGGAUAAAACAGUAUAUAUCUUUUCUGAGAAUCUUAAUAUUCAGGUCAGGGCCUGCUUCUGGAGUUUCUGGAGUUGGAAUAUUAGAUUCGGCUUCUCAACAAUCUGGUCUCGGUAUGCGUCCCUCAGCUAGAAAUGAUCAAGACAACUGCCCUCUUACUAAUGAUAGAAGAGAUCGGCUUGCAGGUCUAGAUAAAGAUGGUUCCCAUCUUAAAUCUGUUAACAAGUAAGACAUAUCCUUUUCAUAUAUUUGUUGCCAGAACCCUCACUAUAAUGUUUCUGUCAUUUUUCUCUUGCUGGAAAUGACGUUUAUUAUCUUCUAGCUGCCGUCACUUAGAAUGUUUGUUGAUUUCUCUUUACAUAUAACCUGCAUUUAUCUUUCUAUAUAAUCUGACAUCCUAAUAUUAUCUUUCUUUCAUUGUAUCUCAGGCCUAAUGGCCAUGAAGAUAAUUUUUCUGCUAGUCCUAACUCCAUAACAAAGCUGAAUGCGCCUGCCCGGGGGCCACGAUCAAAUUCAGGUUCACUGUCCAAGGCAUCCCCAAGCAUUCAUCGAGUGGUGGGAAAUUCUGAUGAUUGGGAACAUUCUCAGAGUAUAAACAAGAGUAGUUCUGUUGGUGGGGCUGUCAAUCACAAACGCGGGGCAGCUAUGUGCUCUGCAUCACCCCCUGUACAGUGGGGUGGACAAAGACCUCAGAAGAUCUCACGUGGUGCAAGACGAUCAAAUUUUUCUCCUCUUAUAUCAAGCCACGAUGAAGCACCUGCAUCAGAUAUGGUAGAUAAUGCAGGCAUCCAUCAGGCUGGAUUAGGAUUGACAAGACGCUUAUCUUCUAAUGGUUCUCAGCAAAUUAAAUUAAAAGGCGAUGGUGUACAAACUGCUGGUUUAUCAGAAAGCGAGGAGUCUGGAGUUGCUGAUAACAAGUCAAGGGACAAGAGUAAGAAAUAUGAAGAGAAUAUUGGUCAGUCCGUGCAUAAGUUUGUAGGACUUGUGUUGCCUCCAAGAAAGAACAAGGUGACUGCUGAUGAAGAUAUUGGAGAUGGUGUCCGGAGACUCAGGAGGAUUGGACGAGCUUUUGCUCCGACAAGGUCUGGCAUGGCUGGGCCAAUUGAGAAGCUAGACAAUACUGCCACUGUGAAGCAACAGAGAAGCACAAGAGUUGGUUCUGAGAGGAUUGAAAGGUAAUGCGGGAUAUCCUAGCCUAUUAACUGGCUGCUGGUAGUCAAUUCAUGUUCUACUUCAGUUUUCACUGAGAUUAUGCUAUUGAUGUUCUCUGUCCCAGUAAACCUGGUCGCCCACCUGCCAGAAAAUUGUCUGAGCGGAAUGGGUGCACACGGCCACGGCAUUCAGUGAACAGUGCACCUUUGAAGUUUUUUGGUACUUUUCUAUGUAUUGAACGGACAGAGUUGUGGAACAAUGUUUUUUCAAUUUCCCCAUGCAAGUUGUGGAACAAUGAAUUUUUAAAUUCCCCUAAAAAAUGAACUUAUUAUUGACUAUUUGAUACUCUUUUCAGGACAAUCAGAUGAUGACCAUGAAGAGCUUUUAGCUGCUGCGAAUGCUGCUCUGCAUACAGGUAUUAAUUUUAUAUCUGUAAUGCUUGGGUAUCUUCUUUUACCCUUCAUUGUGCAAAUAAAGUUAGAACUUUGCUUCAGGGAGUGCUUGUUCCAGUCCUUUUUGGAAGCAAAUGGAGCCAAUUAUUGGUCUUCUUUCUUCAGAGGAUCUCACCUAUUUGGACCAGGUUGUCUUUCUGUCUUGUUAAUAUGGCUCCUAGACUAAGUUUAUACAUUUAAUUUUGAUGUUCCAAAAUUAUUAUUACCAACCAGAUUUGUUGGAUGGACGAGUCUUCUCCAAGUCCUCUUGUUGCUGGGAACGAUGGUCAGGACUUGAAGGUAUUUUAUUUGUUGUUGAUCAAAACAAUGGAACUUGUUUGAAGUUUGAACUAUCGGGUUUAUGGAGUUAUUUUCAAUUGUAAAUUUCCAGCUACCAUAUUCACAUGAUUCUAAUGCAUUUGGGUUUUGAGCUGUUGACAACCUAAUGCGUAAACAUUUCUUUUGGCAAUUUUAUUGGACUGCAUUUCUUUGUUUUCCCAUGAGUUAGCAUUGCUACUAAUACUGAUGAGCAUUGCUACUUUUAAGUUGCUAUUUUUCUGGAUUCCAAUAUAAAUUACAUACAGAGAAGUUAUGAAUAACUGCAUUGUUUUUUUGUUCAUACAUCUUGUCUAUAAGACAAUAACUUAAUGUUCUUUCAUGUCAUUUUUAUCUGCUUGAUAACAAAUUCUUAUCACCUUCUUUUGCAGGGUGAUGUUGAAUACAUAUCCUUACCAUCAACUCCAGUUGCUGCUGGCAGAGAUGAUUUCAGUGCCAUCUCAAAUGGAAUUACCUUUAGUGCACGUGAGAGGAAACCAGAGCUUGCAUGGGAAACAGAGAAUGUUGAGCCUUUCCUAGAGCAAUUAAUACAGGGAAUUGCGGGUCGAAGUGGGGUUUCAAUUUGCCAAGCACUUCUUUCGGCUAUAAUUGAAGAAGAAGAGGUUGAAAAUAUUAACUACGACAACAGCAGAGAAGAAUACUUGCAUGAGUCUCAUGGAAUUUAUUUUGGGGCCGAGAGUGGAUUGAAAUCAAAGGGUUCAAAUUUUCACUCAUCGAGAACAUUUCUAACUGCAGAGAGAGGCCCUUCUAAUGGCUUGAACGGAAAUGCUGGGUGGAGAUACCAUGAUGAAUUGACACAUGAGAAAUUAGAAAGUGGUGUUAUCUUAUUAGACUCUAGCACAGUAUGCACAAAAUUUCAAUAUAACCAAAUGUCCAUCGAUGAUAGAAUCCUCCUGGAGCUCAGUCAAAUUGGACUUUAUCCAGACCCUGUGGUGAGUAUCAUAUCCAAUAUCUCUCAGUUGUCUUUUGCUUCCAGUACAAACUUUUGGGGUUGCAAAGGUGGCUGUAAGCAUAUGCUGGUCGUUGCAAUGUUUGUAUAACUGCUGACUUACUGAAUUUAUUGCUUUUUGCUAGCAUGCUAUUACUGUUAUAAACAUGCCCUGGAUUUUCCGUAUUUCGGGUCACUUCAUUAUGGUGUUCUAUCCACUGCCAUUAAAACUUAUUUUCUUUAAAUCCUGUCCAUUUUUUCUGGUUUUUUUUUAGUGCAGCUUCAAAAUUUUCACCAUCACCUUUUCCACUAUCGGUGCACCACUCAGCUUUCUCUAGAUUAUUGUUAUGUUUUCUAUCAAAUCUAUUUACCCCAACAUUUUCCUGUCUUUUUAGUAGCUGUAACUUUCUGAUUUAUAAGUUAUUGAAAGGUUUACCAUAUUUAUUGUAGUCUUCAUGCAAUAGCGACAUAAAAUUCAAAAAAUAAUAGAACCUCAUUUAAUCCAUAUAGUUCUCGUAAAAAACAAAAUGUUUCUUCAUCAUCCAUUUCUUCUAUAUAGUAGGUUUGAGAGCUCAUAAUAUGUAAUCAAGGACAGCUCUUGGUCUUUAACAGAGAUUGAGCCUGAUAUUUAUUUGUGAAGGUAAUUGCAUUACACAGACAUGCAUUGAGUGGUCAAAAAUGAACAGUUGAAAUAACAUGAAAUAAUGAUUUUUUACUACUUGAUGUAUAGGUUAGGGUCUCCAAAUCAUAUUAUGUUUGGUAUUCAAGCAGGUUAAAGGUAGUAGAUCAUAUAAUAGAUCACAUCCGAUGGCUCAGAGUGUUAGCGUCAGACCUCACAUUCACUAUAUGCACCAAAAAAAAUGAACAACUCAAAUAACAUGAACAAUGAUUUUUACCACUCGAUGAAUAGACUAGGAUUUCUGAAUCACAUGAUUUUUGGUGUACAAGUAGUGUAGAGGUAACAUCUGUUGGCUUGGAUCAUCAAUGUCAGACCUCCAUCGUUUAGACUGACCGGAUCGGAGUUAAAAUUCACUUAUUUUUAACUCCUUAUUUUCUAAAAUGCAGUUUAUCUAUGUUUUUGUUAGAACCUAAAAAGUACAAGACUGAUUUUUCUUUGGCAUCUAUACUAGCAGCUUUGCCAUAGUUGUCAUGUUCUAUGCCCCUUAUUAGCUUUAUCAAUGAUCUAUACAUUGUUGAAAACAGAGUGGAACUUGUUCUGGUUUCCUUCAUUGAUUUUGUAGGGAGCGCUUUUCUGUGAGCUGGUUUGUUGCAUAAACAAUAGUCAUGAUGGUUUAAGACAUAAGUGUAUAUUGCCGAUUGCAUUUUAGUUACCUUUCUGCAGAAGUAUUGUUUAGCUGGCUUAAUCAUUUUGCAAAAAAUUAUUCUAGUGUGACAUUGUGCUUCCAUCUCGUUUCAGCCUGAUUUAGCGCCGAGUGAAGAUGAAGAUAUUAAUGAUGAAGUCAAUAGAUUAGAGGAAGAACUCCAUGAGAAGGUAUGAUUGUUCAUAGUUAUUCAGCCUCUUCUUUCUCAGUUUCUUUAGAAAAGAUCUCCUCUGCUAGGUAAAAUCAUGUCAAUAUGUGCCAUGCACUGACUGCUGUCCCUCAUUGCUAGGUAAAAUCAUGUCACUUUACCCUUUGUGGUAUGACUCAAGGAGCAACAUGCAUUUCUUGCUUGGUGCUUUUCCAGGAUUUAGUGGCAUCUAGUUACUUUUCUUCUGACUAGUGCUGGAGUAGCUAGUUAUUUAAAUGCAAUUUACUGCUUAUUCUUGACCUGGGUGUAUGAUGGCAGUUGUUAUGGAGACCUGCUAAAAAGGAUUUGAUUCUGAUUUGGCAAAGUCCAGGUCGAGCGAACGUGACCUAGUUCAGAAUGUUGUUUGUUAAUGCAAUGGCGAUGUCUUACCACCAGCUUUAUCUUUGUCUUCGUUCGCUUUGCCUUUGCUGACAAUGUCCUUGAUUGUUCUGAGACCUAGCCCAAACUCAAAACCCUAGCUCUAGGUAGGCUAAUGAUGGCAUUGUUUGGGGAAGGAAAGGAGGAACCAGAGGGCUGGAUUGGAGAAGGGAGAAAGAGGGAGAGAGAGAGAGAGAGUUUGUCUCGUAGUUACAUAUGGAAGUGGGUUGGUUAAAGUGUUUAUUUUAAUUGUUAUUUUUUUCCAUUAUUUAUUUGCUCUUAUUCAAAUUGAACCAGAAAGAUAGAAGAUCAGUAUGAGUUUUCCCAUUCUCGACCCAGUCAAAUAUGGGUAAGGCUCGAGAUGAGCAUCUUUUAGCCUGAACCACAUCCAACUCAACCAAACAAGAGUUCUUUUCCUUUUUCUUUUCUUUUCUUUCUUUUUUUCUGCAUAGACAUUAUUCUACACAUGUUUGGAUGAGCUAAGGAGUCCAUCAACUUGAUGGCUGAUGGACAACACAUAUAUUGAGAAGGGAAAGCUGCACCUCUACUAGAACCAAGGUUUUAUGUCUACUGCUGAUGCUACUCGACGAGGUUGAGUUCUUCCUGCAUGUGGAAGCUAAUGGGUUGCCAAUGACAGAUCACAACUAGAUUUUGACAAUCACUUUGUUAUUGUCAGCAGUUAUUGAAGUCAUUAACAGUGUUACUCAUAAUUAUGCUCAAGGCGUAUAACUACUUGACUAUGUUGCAACAUUAUGGAAGAAUUUUGUAAAGUGAGGUCUACCAUGAGCCAUUUAGAUUGGACCAGGGGUUGAUUUGAACGGAUGAAAGGUUGAUAUUAACUCUUCGCUGACACUUUGUCCCAUUAACCCACUAUAAAGCUUCCAACCAAAUUGAGGAUAGGUGCCCACAUUGGUGGUCCUCAUUUCUCUCUUCUCACACCUCUCUCAUAACUUCUGCCCUUUCUCACGUGCAUGACAACAAUGCUUGCUAGAUCAUGGUGGCAUCUCUCUUGGUAAGCCAUCUCUCUUCUCCAGCAUCCUCUCUUCUAUAUUUUCAUCAUCUGGCCUUCCUUUGCAAUACCUUUGCUUGUUUAAAACAUUAUUUUCAUUCUUCACUGUAUCUAUUUAAUAUCACCCUACUCUCUCUGUCACUGUAUCUCCGUCGCUGUAUCUAUUUGAGACUGUAUUUUACUUUAAGGAUAUCGAUGCUGAUUAAUACUUGCAGUUCCGAUUCUCGGCCCUUCACUAAAUGGUCUUCAAGCACUUGUAUGGUUGCUUUUAGCUGUAGCCUGCAUCAUGUUCAGUAGUGGAACCAAUCAACAAACCAGGAAGAACUUGUUCUCGUUUUGCCGACUUUGGAGGAUUCCUCAAUCACAAAAAAUUCUAACAUGAGUGCAUAGUGUUUGCAGCUUGUAAAUUUUAUGCCCUCCAAGUUUAAUCUCCUAAAACAGGAGAACCGACGAUUUUCGAUGUGGAAGAGACAAUGGGAGCUAAAAGAUAGGUCUUCAAUUUUCUUUUGCUCCAAAUUCUUGAAUUAUAAUUUAUAUUUUGUAUCAUUGGAAUGGUGAAUAUAAGAUCAGUCAAAAGUUGCAGUUUCUGUAGAAGUUCUCAUUCAGUUGAUUAGGAAAUUUACUGGCUAGUUGUUUAUGUGCUCAUGAGUCCUAUUCUGAGUAGGUUUGGCGUCAAGAACUCCUAUUUAUUUUUAGACUGUCAAGGUAGUUCUCGAGUCAUCAUGAUUGUUGUAAUAAAUCCAAGGGUCCGUAGAUAUUGGACUCUGUGGGCUUCUAGAUUUUGUUAUCUAAGAAUUUAUGGGUAUAUGAUGUUGAGAUUCCAUCCUCCCUACUGCUGCUCUUCUUUCUGCUUUCUUCUCACAAAUCCUCAAGCUCAUCUUUCUUCAUUUUCUCAUUCUUCUUUUGCGAUCCUUCCCCCUUUAGGUUUGCCAUCUUUGUUUAUCUGCUUCCUAGUUUUUCUCUUCUGCUUCCCAACUCCUUGUUAUCUUCUCUAAAUUGUCUCUUCUUUUAUAACACAGGGCUUGUUUCCUCUAUUAAAUUAUCAUUCCUCCCAUCAUUUUUCAUUGCAUGGUUCCUUUGUCUGCUUGCUACUUGUCUGCUAAUAGCUACUGUAGUUUCUUGACAGGUCAAUUGCAUACGACUAGCUUACUUCAAUCAGUUAGAAAGAAGUGUUCUUACCAACUGAAAUAGAGAUGAAAUUGUGCAAUCUCGUUGCACAUUGCUCAACUUUCCAUCAAAAUUGGAUGUGCAUCUUCCUCUCUGAGAAUGUAAUCCUGUUUCUGUAUGAACAGAAAAUCUAGAUUUAGCGUAUCAUGUGCAAAUGUAUAUUGUAUCUAAAAGUCUAAGAUGCACUUUUUCAAAAUGUAUGAACUGAAAUGACUAUACACAGCAAUGGUAUUUUUAGGUAGGUAUACUGUUUAAUUAAUAGCUUUAACUAAAGCUUAUGCUAUCUUAACCUUAAACUAGCGAGUCGGCUGAAAUUUGUGCAACAUACAUUGUUAACAUACUUGCUGUGCAUGAUAUACUUUUAGAGAAUUGAAUAAUUGCGAUAGAAAUUCCUUUGAUGCUAUUGGAGGGGAAAAACUUUUAUGCCAGAAGUUACGUGGUUGCAAUAUCUAUCUCAUACUUUAUACCUUCCAACAUGUAUCAUGAAAAUAAUCUCUUCCCUGUUACAUAAUUUUUUCUGUUGAUAAAGGUUAUGAAGAAGAAAAAUCGUCUGUUGAAACUGGAGAAGGCUGUUAUGGAAGCAAGGGAGUCUCAACAGAGGUAUGCUGUGAGAGCAUGUUCAUGUGAUUGUUGCUUUUUGCAUUUCUGAAUUGUUCUCAUAUAUCAUUUGUACAUACAUUCUUAUAUACAUAUAUAUUGUUCUUUUUGUGUGUAGAAUACUAGAGCGUAUAGCUUUGGACAGACUUGUAGAAAUGGCGUAUGAGAAAUAUGUGGUAAUUUCUGAUUCCUCAAUAUCAAAUAAAUCUCUUAAAUAAUAAUUAUCGGUACAGCUCAUUCUACAUAUUGGCUUUCCUGUGAUGCAUGUUUCCGGCUUUUGAAUCUUCUGUCACAUAGCUUGAAGUUGGAAAAUGCCAAAAUAGUCUGUUUUUUAACCAUCAUAAUAUUACACAAACACAAAAAUCCUUAUACUAUUAGUUUUGGUUCAUCAGAAAAGUGAGUGAGCUCGUAAGAUAUGUGAAUAAUAAGUAAUAAUUAUUGCAUUAUCUAGAAGGUUUACUUAUUCCAAUGUCAUCAGUGAGUGCUCCCAUGGCAUUAUUUAAGAUCAGAUGCCCUGAUCAAGACUAAAUGCAUGGCUAGUUCUGGUAGGCACUUACAUGAGAGUUUUUAAUUUAUGAAAAAUCUUUUUUAUGUAUAAGGAAUUUGAAAUACCAUAAUCUUUCUAUAACACCUCAUUGCAUCCUGAUAAAGACAAAAUGCAUCACUGUUCCUGUCUCCUGCCUCUCCUUUCUUUCUCAUAAUUGAUAUCACCUUCCUUAUUCUAAUAGUAGUUUUCCUCCUGCAAUCAGAAAGGACAUUAGUAUAAUAUAUGGUUGGAUGAGUUGGGAAUAGGAGAUAGUUAUAUAUUUAUAAAAGGUGUAAUGAGUGUGGAGUUGCAGAGUGGGAGAUACUAUGGAGAUUAUUUGAUCUUUGAUUUACAUGUUAAACCACAUCAUUGCUUGAACAGUGGUAUUCGUGUUAACUGAUGCUAAUUUAAGGUGAAGUAUGGGCACUUUUACCAUCUUUUGAAAGCAUAAGCACUAAUUGCUUGGAGAAUGCAACUCUUGCAUAUAGAUGCUAUAGCCCUGCAAUGAAGGGACGUCAUAAGGAUUUUAUUCUGAAUUGCUGUGAUUGGCUAAUCAUUGGAGAAUGCUUCACACGACAGGCAUAUUGGGGUCCUAACGCUUCUAGUAGCAAGAAUGUGAACAAGCUUAACAAACAUGCUGCCUUGGCUUUCGUCAAACGAACAUUAGCACGAUGUAAGAAAUUUGAGGACUCAGGGACUGGCUGUUUUGAUGAGCCUCCUUUCAGGGAUAUGUUUCUUUCUGUAUCUUCUUACAGCAGCGGUGCAGAAUGUAUACACAUAUCUGCGGGUGGAGAGGCUGCCAAUCGUUUCACUGCCAUGCUGCAUCCACAAAAUACUUUAGCAGGUAACCCAAAUUCUAUGCUACAAUAUUCAAUCCGGGGCUCCAUGCAUGUACACUUAAGCCUGUAGAUCAUGCACAGACCUGUCUCAGAAUUUCCAAAAGAUAUAGCUUCAUCAAUUUUCAUGAAAUUUCAUACGUUGGUUGUAUAUAUUCUUCAAGGUUUAUGGUUAAUAUAUAUGAAUCUAAAUUGCUUUCUGAAUGCACUCUGUACUAAAUGAUUAAUGUUGCUCUCUUUGCAGAUUCUAAUCCUAAUGCGACCUCAAAACCAGUUGAAAGAGUAGAUGCCUGUGACAAGUAUUCUGAUGCUUUUCGGUCAGAUAAUCAUUUCACAGAACAAACAGUCGGUAAAGAGGAGCAGUGGUCAAACAAAAUCAAAAAGAGGGACUUGUUGGUUGAUGAUGUUGUUGGUAGAACCCCGGUCACUUAUCUGAGAACAUCUUCAGCUCUUGGGAAUUCUCCUGUAAGUGGUAUAAAAGGAAAGAGGAGCGAGAGAGAUAGGGAAGGAAAGGAGCAAAACAGAGAUGCAGCCUCAAGAAAUAGCAUUGGUAGAAUUGGUCGUCCAGCUUUAUCCAAUGUCAAAGGUGAAAGAAAGCACAAGGCACAGCCCAAACAGAAGACAGCCCAGUUAUCUGCUUCUGUCAACAGCCUUAUUUCUAAGGCCGCAGAGUUACCUAAUGCAUUGUUGCCUUCGGACCUAAAAUCUCGGGAUAUGAUUGUAGGUGGAAUUACCAAGAAGGAUGAUUUAGCUGUGCUUUCCAGCUCUGCCAAGAUGCAGGAUAUGCCAAAUGAUGCUCAGGCCAUUGACUUGCCCAAUUUGCAACCACCAGAGGUAGAUGUUGGUGAUCUUGAUGGUCAUGGGCAGGAUAUUGGUUCAUGGUUGAACAUUGUUGAUGAUGAUGGACUGCAAGACCAUGAUUUUAUGGGUCUUCAGAUUCCCAUGGAUGACCUUUCAGACGUUAACAUGAUAAUAUAAAGGUGGUAUAUUUUUAUAUUUUUCAGUGCAAUAUGCAGUUUCUAAACAUACUGGCAUUACCGUCGCGGUUUACCAUCUGACAGCCAGUUCUGUAAGUAGUCUAAGUAGUCAAUAGAUUAUUUCAGGGGCUUUUAGAGAAGUUUAUGUGGAGCAAAUUUUUUGAUCGGUGUAAUUUGCUCUUGUAAUAUUUUCGCAACCUUGAUUGUGCAUAUGUUGCUCGUCAGUUUCUAGGUCGCAAGUGUGGCUGUUAUCAUCUUUGCAGGAGUUAUAUCCUGAAAUCGUACAUCCAUUUAUAUCUGAAAUAAAAAGCUACAAUUAAUGAAAAACCCUUUUUGAAGGAGCGGUGCCGUGCUCAAUUCAUAAUCCAAAUCAGAUAUUGUGCUUUUAAGAAAUGCUGUAUUGAUUUUCCUAUUGAACUUAUGGAGCGAAGGGAAGUAAAUAAUUUCCAUUUUUUCAAUAUUAAUAUUAGAUUGGACUUUGUGUUGCCUAAUCAGUAUAAAGUAAUCCUAUAUCAGUAUAAAGUAAUUACAAUCAAGAGCAGAGAAACUCUGUAGUAUGCUCAAACAAGUGUAAGGCUACCUGCAUCAAGAAGUAGAUCCGUGUGUCACAAAACUUCCACCACCACAGCUUUCAUAACUGCCAAUUGAUAUGUCCAGCCCAGCAACAAUUUCAGUCAUAAAGGCAACUUCGGAAUAAUUAAUCAAUAACAUGGCAAACUAAGGUACGGUAUAUCCAGAAAAUCUUUGGGCGGUCACUCAGCACUAUCAGAAUAUGAGAAUUGCAGAAAGCAUGCAAAUAAUAUUAAAAUGCUAAGGAUCAAAGGAACUAAUUAAAACCUAAGAGCUUAGGCUGCGUAAACUGUGUUCACGACAGGAUGCAAUUUCAGAGACAUGAUGCAGGUUCAAGCCCUCUUCCAGCAUAAGCCAUUCAAUCAGCUCAACAAACGAGCUGCAAUAAGAAAAAGGUAUUUUCACACUCUUUGAACUGUGAUGGGUACAAUUACAUCAUUACAAGCACUCCUUUUAUAAUCAUAAACACGGGCAAGCAUCUAUCAGAGACGCACCAUUUGCAUGUAUUAGAACUUGAAACAGGCUCAUUUAGACCAAGAUAUCAUGGUUCAAAGUGUGAUGACAAGUAUCAGGACACAAAUGUCUUUUCAUAAUAUCUUAUUCAUAGAUAUCUAGGCAUAUGCCCCGCAUAAAGAACUUUUCCACUCAUAAAUCUCGCACCUAACCAAGGGGCAUAUACCUGGAUAACUAACUCCACUUGAUUGUUUUUUUCCAUUUUUUCAUCUCAGCUUUUUAUCAAUUUCACUGAAGGGCAUCCUGGAUAGUGCCAGCUUUUGGCUUGGCUCUAAGAAGAAUGUUGAUUUCUAUUUUAAUUCUAAUUAUUGUAGAAAAGGCUCAUUAGACUCUUCAGAUUUGUCGUUCAAGAAAAGAGCUAAUCUCAUACUAUUAACUGUUGUUUUUUCAGAAGGCCUAGAAAUUAUCCUACAAUUUUCUAUGCGUAAAGACAACUCUUUGUCCACUUUUUUAUCAACCACAGUAAAAUCCAGUACCGAAAACUAGCCGAUCAUAGUUCAAGAAUUUUACAGCAAACAUAGACUAAAUAGUAAAAGUCAUAAAUCACCCGAUUUCUUAUUUAAGAAUCAUGCAGCCAGUCAUAAUACAGCAGGCCCUCUUUCUUAGGAGCUAAGAAGAUGAAGCACAUAAAAGUGAUAAAAGUUACCUAGAUUUGGAGUGCAAAAAGGGAGAAAAACAUCCUUUCAAAUAUAGUGGACAAUACAUGACUAAAGGAACUAAAAAAGAUGAACUGAAAUGCAAGUUGAAUGUUGCCUAAUGAGACAGAUUUAACAUUCACAUUGAUCUAUCAGAAACAACAUAGAAUAACAGACAACACAAUAGAAAGAAACAAGGUUAGUACAUAUUCAUUGUUGAAAAAGACAAACAUACCUUUGAGAAGUUCCUCUGGUCUGAACUAGGAUGUUUUUUUGACAGGUCUCUUAAAGUUUGAAAAAGAACCAGAAAAACCUAUUGGAAGCAAGCAUAUCAGCAGGCUGGAGCUGUUGCACCAAAAAAAGAGAAGAUCCCUGGCCUAUGGAUAAUUCAUCCAGCAAAUAUUAUUAAAAAGACACUUUCCAUUAACCGCAAAUCGCGAUGCUUUACAUGGUCAUGCUAUAAUCAACAAGACCAUGCAACACUAGCAAAGUAUAUCAAAACCACUAUUCUAACAUAAUGCAUGAAAAGAAGUUGAAUACAUUUGGAUUAACAGGACUAUCCAGUAAGUGUACCUAGAUUUUUUCAUAGCUUCAUGCUGCUAAGAAAAUUCCAGUAACAAUAAAGUUCUAGUCUAAAAAUUUGAAAUAAAUGAAAACAAUAGUAGAUUAGAACAUAACCAUAAAUCUAACAAAAAGCAUGAAACCUUAGUUGGAUAGAUUUAAAUUAACAAGUAGUGGGUGGAACUAUUGAGUAAACAGUAAAUAAAUGGCUUCCUGUGAACAUUUGAUGAAUAAAUGAGAAUAGGAGUAGAUUAUCAACAACUGAAUACACUGCAUAGCACCUCAAAUUUCCAAAUGACCAUGAUACCAGAAUGGAUGAUUUCCAUAAAACACAGAUCUGAGUAGCUUCCCUAUUUGUAAAUUUUUUGGAACUUGAUCUCAACGAAUGUCUGCUAGAUCAGCAUGAGAAUCCUUGCCAAUUUUUGUUUCAAAAAGAGGAUUUAAAGUCCCAGCACUUCCACAACCAUUCUAUGCUUUAGUAUUUGCCUCCCUUUCCUCCCAUCGCAUGAAAGAAUAUUGGUGAAUUGCAAUCCUUGUCCCUUCUCGAAAAAGAAAAUGCAAUCUUCGUCACAGAACAGUCAACCCUACCUGUGCCCAUAAAUCCACCACCCAUUUUGUGGUUGACUUUAGACCCACCAUCAGUGAGUAGUGACUCACCUGAGGGCAUCUUCAGGUCUACCACUACCUUACCACGCCUUAGUGCUGAACAAAAUCCCACAGAAUGUUUCACUAUUGGGACUCAAUCCACAAUCGCAGAGGUUGUCCAAGACCAUUGAUCGCAUAGCACAAGAUGGUUUUCUGACAACCCACUACUUGUAUUACCUACCCUAUCAUGCAGUAAGUAGCUCAUCCAUUCAAUCUCAUUAUGCAUUCUUCUCAUAGAUCUGUCUGCUUUUAUGCUCUAGAUAAGCACAAGAAGACAGUACCUGUACAUCUAUGUACAUCCUAGAAGUAAUCCACUGACAAAAUCCUGGUUCAAAAUAUUUUCAACAUAAUGCUUUGCAACUCUCUCUCUCUCUCUCUCUCUNUNUCUCUCUCUCUCUCUCUCUCUCUCUCUNNNNNNNNNNNNNNNNNNNNACUACUCUCUCUCUCUCUCUCUCUCUCUCUCUCUCUCUCCCCUCUCUCAACCCUGAGCUAACUUAAUAUCCUUCAGAACUCUAUUAUAGUGCAGCUUAUUGCAUCAAUUAGCAUCAUAUCUCUGCUGCAUCUGGAUUUUCAUAUGUCCCUAUAUGCUAACUGAUGUUAGUUAUUCUCAAUUUCAUUGACAGCCUUCACAAUCAAAUUUGUAAUAUGUAUGCACAUUCACAAUUCAUUAUUCUUAUGACCACUUCUCAAAACAAUCUGACAUGUGAACUAUACAGAUCAAACGAUCAAUUUAAGCUCCACUUUUCUGUUUCAAUUAGUCAUCUCUUAAGAGCACUUUACUUUUAGAAUCCACGACAUCAUUUGUGAGCUUCUUACUAAGUUGCCUAUAUCUUCUUGUCCACAUUAGACAUGCAUGUAUAACAACCUAUGCCAUCAGGCCAAACCACCGAAAUAUAGUUCACAUGAUAAUUAUUCUUAAGAAAAACAGUGUGGCAUAUUUAAUUUGACAAAGAUAAUGUUGCAAUUUGGUGAACUUGAUGUGUCCCUGUCAUCUAGUUCAGAAAUGGGACCAAUUAUGCUAAAACAAACAUGGAUGUUCAUUGGAAUACCAAUUUAGGCACCAGAGCAUCUUUUGAAGCAUCAAGCACCAUCCAAUAACCACAACUGCAACUAACAAGCCUAAUUUGAUGCAUUAAUUGAUUGGAUAUAUAGAUCCUUUUUUUCACUGCUCUUUGAAAUAAAGAAUUGCAUCCUAUAUACCAACUUGACAUUGCCCUUCUUCAAAUCUUUUUCACGACAUCCACACAAAAAAUCAAUGUUUUAUAGUCUUUGUUGAGACUCUUAAAACAUAUUCUAACUAUUUCAUUACCAAACCUCCCUUGCUCCUUGUUGAAUGUGCUCAUGUUAUUAAUUCAUGACCAUCUUAUUUUAAUGGUCACGAGAAAUGUUGUAUCAACUGAAUUGAAUACGUCCUUUAUUGAGUUGCCAAUUCUCACAAACUUUGCCUAUAAUAACCUUCAAUUCCUUUGGUUAUGUUUUGUCACCUAUCUGCCAUAUUUUUUCUUUCAUAACUCCGAUUCAUACUUCACCAUUAUCCUGGUCGUAGCACAUACCGCUAUAUCAUUUCAAAGAACAAGAAAUCAUAAAUCCAUGGGGACUCUUCCCAAAUGUCAAUAGCCGAUUCAUUUAUGUGAACCUGAAGACAAGGUCUGAAGGCAAAGCCUCAAAAUAGGCUUAUUCUUAUAGUUGAAACACCAGCCAUUGCAUCUUCUUUCUUGUGCAUGCAUUCUUAGCUGCAAUUAUAUAACUUGAUACUUCUUGCACAUUUGCACCCUACUCCAUGUUUAUAAAAACCAUGUUUUAAUGUUAUUUUCAGUCGUUACUUAGCCAAAAUGAACAGCAAUACUUGCAAACUAUUAAAGGAUGGUUUUUCUGAGCAAGAUUCGUCGUCUCAGUACCCGACCCCGUACAAAUGCCACACUAGCACUGUGUCGAUACGGUAUGGUACGAGACUUUUCGGUAUACCGACCCCGUACCAAGUGUUGGUACACUACCUGCACUGGGUACCAGUACUGAACCAGUACGGUAUGGUACGCCGCAUACUGCCCGGUACGACAAACCAUAUUCCUGAGCCUAUUGUUCUCAGAGUUCUCAUUCAACAAUUUCUAGGAAUAUAUUAUUCAUUUUAUUUUGGUCUAACUGAGUAUAGUUGAAGGUUAACAAAAAUGGAGCAAAUUGCUACACAUAGUCAAAAAGUAUUUGCUGCUACCAUGGGAAGUACUAAGUUAACAAAAUGAGCUGAUGUUUUAUGCAAUUGGCAACUAAGAAAUUGACUGGCCAUAAGCAGUGUUCUCCACCAUAACACAAAAAGGAUAACUGAAAUAUCAAAUGGUAUUAUAAAGCAAUGUCAGCAAUAAGGAUGUUCGUUAUUCAAUCUUUCCUCCUUUAUUUGAUCAAUUAAGUCCAUCAAUCAGUUUCCUAGAUUUUCAUGUUUUCAUAGCUGGUGUAGAACCGGGUCCGGGAAGGAUGACUGCAGUGGUGACAAUGUACUCUUGGGAUUACUGCUGUACGUUGUAGCUUUAAAAUGGAAACAGAAGAAGAGGGAGAAGAGAAGGAGGAAGAGGAAGAGGAAGAGGGGAAGACGUGGGGGGAAAAUUUUAAUCACUUCAUUAAACCCUAAUCAUGAAAAUAGUUCCCUAUAUAUAGGGCCCAAAUAUACAAUUUGCAUAAAUCCCCUUACAUAGAAAUAAAUCCUAAUAAGCCCUAAAAUGCAAAUAAGCCCAGAAAUAAAAAUAAAAUAAAUAUGCAAAUAAAAUGGUGGCCUAGUUGAUGUCCCCAUCAACUCCUUCCGGGUGGAAAAAUAAUGGACCAAAUCCGAGUCUGACUCAAUCCGGAGGUUCAAGAUCAUCUGGAUGAAGGGCUCUGAUAUCCCCAUCAAUAGCUUUAUGCAACAAAUAUCCUACAUCAUAAUAAAAAAAAUGGACCAUACAAGAGUUGCUAAGAGAAUACUAUUUAUAUUCACUAAUCAAAAAGGAGGGAAGGGGAAAAAAUAAGUGGAUGCAAUAGAUGCACAAAGACUUCAAACUGAAAUAUAAGACGGUUUAAUGUAUAUAAACUUUAUAAAUUGCAGCUAGAAAAUUUAUUUAUGAACUGCAAGUAUAUGAUCUUAAGCCAACCCCAUAUAGUUGGCAAGAGGCUAAAUGGUUAUGGUUAUAGUAUGCAUAUGAUCUUGCAAGAAAAUCACAAGUAAAAUUUUACCAUUCUUUUGGAUAAAUCAAUGCAUGCAAUUUUGGAGACAAGAACGGCCAUUUGAAGUGCUAUCUGUGCCAAGACAUGCAUAAAUAAAAAGCAGAAUUAGCAGAGGGAUGCUGCUUCUCCUAUUGAAAAAAACUCCCAAAAACAUCUGGAUUAUUUUUGACGUAUGUGUAACAGCAAUUUCUUUCAGAGAUGAAUCUUUUCCUCAUUGUUGAUGCCUCUGCACAAAAAAAUUAUAGGAUACUUACAAGAUCAAAAAGGAAAGAUCUUCGUAGACAAAAAAAGUUUGAUGGAUCUAACAACAUCAUAUGAUAAUAAAACAUAAUCCAGCAAAGAAGUAAUAAAAUUACAAUAAUGAUAUACCAAUGAAUUUGAAACACAUAUAAGAUUAUCCAGAUCAGCACAAAAACUUGGAGAAAGCUAGUAGUUCACUUUCUAGCAUGGGUAGUAAGUUGAAGAUUUGAACAUCUUUGCCCAUUUUCAUGAGCUCACCUCUCAAGCUGCGCUCUCUGCUGAGUAUUGUGAUCAUCCUUGAUGUUAUUGACCUAGAUAUUAUCGUUUUGACCAAGUCUCUGACCUAGAUUUAGCUUUUGCAAGUGCCAAUUUUUGUGAUUUUUCAUCUUGACCAUGUCUCCAACCAACACUCUCGCUCUUCCGUUUCUUUUCCUCAUUAUCUCGAUCUUCCUCUAUUGCAUUUUUUGUCACAUCUGCUCUCUCUUUUUACUCCUAAAAUUGAUAAUAAUAUUAUCCCCGUUAUAAAAUUUUAAAAUAGUUUAGAUCCAUUCGAGCCACUGUAUUCACUAGCCUAGGUUUCUAUUAUAUUACACAAAGUGGCUUAGUUGUAGAUUUUUUUACCCUCUAAGCACUUAACCAUUUACAUAGUCCAUUCAAACUCAUAAACCAAUUUAUGAUUAGGGAUAGAAGAACAGUUAGCAACUAAAUUAUGUUGACAAAUAUGAUUAUCACCUUGAACAGGGAACGGUGUUGACUAGAAAGAAAGAAGGAAAAGAUCAUUUGGAUCAAAAAGAUAUCAGGUCGUGCAAGUAAAAGGAAUCAACUGUAAACAAAUAAGUGGAAGAGUAAGUUAUGAUCGAUCACCAAAAAAAAAAAAAAAAGUACUGUAUAAGGAAAAAAGAAACAAUCAUAAACGAAUAAGUGAUCGAGAAAGCCAAGAAAACAACUCACGGGCUAUCGCGUGCUGCUCUUGAAGUACACCGAAGCCAGAAUCCGGACAUCAUCACGGCAGGCCAAAUCCCUCGCGGAAAUUAUCUCCUGCGUCCUCCUCCGUCAAUGGGUCUCCAAAACGCAUCUUCUUGAUUAAAAGGAACGUAGAACAGCGAAUGGAAGAAGAAAAACCCAAGAAAUCAAGAAAGACGGAGAGAGGGCGAGAGAAUACGAGGAGUCAGGAGCAGAAGGCGAGGCGGUUCUCGCACUGCGCAAGGGCAGCCUCGGCCGGCUUGCGGAGGGACUCGUCGGAGCACAUUGAGCUAGAGAGAAGAGAGUAAACGAUUUGGACGUCGGAGCACAUCGAGCUAUAGAGAUCUCCACCCCUUGUUCUUGAAAUGGGGGAGACGGGCAGCGAGCGAUCGCAUACUCCGAGACGAUCGGCGAAGGGCGAGGAGGAAAGAGAGGGAAAGUGCUUUCCACCGAGAGCCGGAGAGGAGAAUGGCGAGUGGGGUCGGGAUUUAUGGAAACGCUGGCCGCUGGGGUUGCGCCGGACAGAGGCGAAGGGGGCCAGCGCCAAGGGUUUUUAAAAAUAAAAGAAAUAAGGGACUGGCGUCGGUCAUGGACCUCAUGGUUUUAAAAUGCUCCGCUGAGUUAAUUGCUGUUCUACCCGAGAAGGGAACCGUAGGCUUGCUGCGAUGCUACCUAUAAAUCGCCGGAUAUAUGUAGUCGUUAUGUGACUCGGUGCGUUUGAAGUCGAUUCAUCAUACGAUUCCCUGCAAUAUGGAAAGUUUUAUGUUCCGACGAAUGGGAUUUGAGGGGCUUCUGAGUUCUGAAAUUGUGAACUUCAGACUCCUAAUAAGAGGGGAAGCUAGCUAGAACUAGGUUCUUGUGCCAUUGAAAAAAAUAAGGAAGUGAUUGAUCGACAAAGAAAUAUGGAUAAUUAUUGAAAAAAAAUUUCUAAAAUCUCCCAAACAAAACUGAUUCCAACAAGCAAAACAUAUAAAUCAUAUUGAUAGGCGCAUUUUUGGUUUUUUCUCGUUCAAAAUAUUUUUACGACAUAAGAUUCCAACUUCUACAUAUCUUGAUCAAUCUAGAUAUUCCUUUUAAACUAUUGGAUUAUGCCUCACAUUGAUCUCAAAGCACUUCGAACUUUUCUUUCAUCUAUUUGCACAAAUCUUAUGACGGCUACUGCGCAAUGCAACGGUGCACAUCGCAAAGAAAAGUGAACAUUCUUUCGCCCGGAAGAUACAAUCCAAACACCCCUAACUCUAUUCCUGUUGUACUUUGUUCAUAAGUAGACAACAAAUUCCAAAUUACGGACCUAAGCUCCUUUCAAAUAUCUAGUUUCAAGUAACUAAGAGCCUGAGUUAUAGAUCCAUGCCCAGCCAUGCAGAUUAGAGAGGCUAUUUGGGUCUCCCUAAGCACAAGAACAAUCCCUCAUUUCAAUUGCGUGCAAGCAUCAUAUAUCUUGCGUGCAUGGCUCAGCCUGGACUAAAUGCUUCUCAGGCCGUAGCAGUGGCACCAACACCCUGCUCAUUUAUUCAGCAUUGCUAAAGCCAAAUGUGGUGCCUAUAUAAUUUAUAUGUCAAGGUUUGAGCAACACUAAUUUCCUGAAAGAAUGGACUCCGUCCUUAACUGUUCAAAAACAGCGAUCAUUUGCUUAGAUCUGCCUGGAGCAGGGAAAUCUGGAAGGAAGUGAUCAUUGUGACUGCAACGAUUAUUUGCUAUUAUAAUCAAAAGUAAUAAAUGAAAAAGGGACUGUUCUUAUAAAUCACUGUCUAAGGGAAAAAUCUUUUUAUCAACAGGCUUAGAAAUAAAAGAGAAUAGAUAACCAAAGAAGAGAGUUCAAGGCAUUUUGCCUACUAGAUCAAGAAAGGGGGCUUUGAUAAGUGCGUGGUUAUCUAACUCAGCUGCUAGUUAUUGGUUGGUAUAAACCAAUGUUUGUCUACUAAUUCUUGUGAACUCUCAGAUUUUCAUAUUUUUACUGACCGCACAAGAUUGUUUUGGAGGAUAUCUUACAAAUAUAGAGUGAUAUGGGUUGACAAGAGUGUUGGAGUUUUAAUUAAAAAUAAAUAAAUAUUUUUAUCUCUUAAAUUUUAGUUGUUUUAAAUAUUUUAAAAUAUUUUUUUUUUGUGAGGCACUUUUUUUUUUUGAAAAAGUUGCAACUCUUAUAUAUUGAUUUUCAAAACAUUACGUAUCUUCGGAACCAUCACGUCUCUUCGAUUUUUCGAAUAGAAUCUAUAAAUAGACUCAUCCGAGAUUAAUUGAAAAAUAAUCCAAUCCCCUUCUCUCUCACUGAUACUCUAUCUUCGGAAAGUUUCUUUCACAAACAAAAAGUUCUUCCACUCUUCAACUUUCUACUUUCUAUUUUUUCUUCUUUUUUGGACACCGGAAUGAGUCGGUCAGGCCAAACCUUCUUAAUAAUCAUGCUUAUUAUAUGAGGAUCGAGCUAAGCCAGAUUGAUUGUACUCUGCGGACGAAAUCGUCGCAAAUCUGCAUGUAGAGGAUGGAUCAUGUUUUUAAGGUAAUGUAUAUCAUCCAGACAACAAGCUAUUUUCAAUCUUCUAAUUUUAUUCUAGUAGAAUAUUUUUUUAUAAUAUUUUUAUAAAAUAAAAAUUUAACAGUUUUUAGGCAUAAUAUUUUCAACAAAGAGCAUAUCCGAGACCAAAAAGAAAAAAAAAACGCAUCUCACGUAGAAGGGCUCCAUGCACUGUGUAUCAUGUCUUCCAAAUGAUUUCUUGUGUAUAUGUAUAUGCUUAUAUAAUUACCUAAAAGACACCUACAAAUAAAUAAAUAUAAGUGAUAGGCUGAUAAAAGUGGGGUUUUUUAAAACUUUGAUUGAUGCCCUGGCGAGCGAUUUCCGACCGGUUUCAGCUUCCUCUCCGGGUUCAACCGGCUUGGUUUUCGUUCCCAGAUCAUGCUUUCGGACCCGCUGUAUGGCUGGCGUGUCGGUUUUUUUUUUUGGGUACAAAAGGCAAAAAGCUCCCCGUUUGUAGUAAUUUUAUUCAUGAUAUUCUGGCCUCAGAAAACCAAUCCCCAACGCCCAGGCGCUCUCCCCUUUGGCUCCCUCCUUCGCGGGUAGCAAAGUAGCAGAUGAUUGGAUGAUGGCUAUCACAAUGAACUCCCCGUUGAAUUUCGGCACGGCGGUAAGCUCUGAGCCUCCUCACUCUCCGUUGCUGCUUUGGGUUUAUCUCUCUGCUCUGCCCGUUUAUAUUUCGGAAUGAAUGGCAGGGUGGUAGGACGAGGGCGAAGGGGACUUUUGCUCUUUCUCUUCGCUUUCUGUUUCCUUCGUGGUAGUUUUAUCUAUAUUUGGACAUUAAAACUCUAUCUUGCCAAUGAUAUUAUAUUUUUAUAAUUGGAGAUGGGACGAAUUUAGACCGACUAGAUCCUGUGUCGGAUUCUAUGUUUAAUUGAGGGACUGAAAGAUGACUAAAAGAACCGUAUAGUGGAUCGAAUUUUAUUGUGCACACCUUGAUUUUGACCCGAGGGAAAGAAGAUAGAACUGCGAUGUUUUCGGAGGAUUUAGAUGUUACCACUAGGGGAAGAGCCAUGGCUUGGUAUCUUGAUUUUGGUUCGUGAUUUGUAGCAUCGGUAGGGAUUCACGUCUUGGAAUCUUUUGGUUGGAUUCUCAUAAUUGGCUUUACAAAAUAAGCAAUCGGCUGGCUAUGUAAACACGCAUGGUGGGGAUGAGACUCUGUUGUACCAUGGCAACACACGGUUUCCAAAAUUCCUCUUUCUCUCAUUUUUAUCUUGGAAGAUGGUUGCUGGUUUUGCGUACGAAGGCGGUCGAUGAAAUAUCAAGUUGGAGUAUGAUGCCUUCCUCCCUCUCCAUGCCCUUAUGGUGAGACAUCAAUCUCUGAUGGCAUAUCUACCUCUGGUGCCAUUUUCAAAUCUUCUUCUAUCUUUGUUCUCAACAUGUGUCAAUAUCAAAUCAUCAGAUUAGUUGCAUAUAGUGACAUGCUUUCUCUGUCAAAUGCAAAACCCCUUCUUGUUCCUGUACCUUAUUUCCUUCCUCUUUUAUUCUUGAUUUGAUGGAUAAGCUGGGAUCUUAUUAUGAGGAACUAGCGAGCGUAAUCUAGGGUUAGCCUAGAAGUCUAAAUGACCUGAUAAGUCUUACUUUGGAUACUAGCAAAGCCCAAAUUCAUGNNNNNNNNNNNNNNNNNNNNNNNNNGGGGGGGGAAAUUUUGUGGGGUGUGGAAUAGGAGUACUUUAUUGGCAUGGUCCUAUGUGAAAGGGGACGAAGAUGUCGAAAAUGAUUUAUUAUCAAACCGCCCAUUCCUAUCAUGCAACAUUCUGAGUCCCAAUUGGUUGGAUUGGUUUUGUUUGCCAGCCAAUAUUUGUGAUGGAGGUGCAGCUGUAUGCUUGAAGCAAGAACAGCGAUCCUAGAGUACCUGAUGAUGGAGGUUCUUCUCUAUUUGUUACCUGUUAUAGUUGAUCUUUUAUUUGAUAUUCGUAUGAAGAAACUUUUUCUUAGGGAGGAUAAAACAAUUUCCUUGUGUAGUUUGAUGGGUCCUUGUAUUUUAUUCUUAUACUUAUGCAUUUUUGUUCAGCAAUUUUAAUUUUCCAUUGAAAUUUUUUCGCUUUGUUUGGUCCGAUGUUAUGUAAUUAUGAGUCUUUUAUAAUCAUAAGGUUUGACAUUUUCUUUUCUUUGGUGGCAUGAAAUGACUCAGCAGCUGGACAAGAAAUAAUGAAUCAUAUUAUGAAAUAAAAUACAAUGCUCUUAGGUUGAAGCCCACCAUGUUAAUUGAACUGUCCCAGUUGUGGUGUGAGUCAUUUUUGACUUUUACAAUUAAUCCAGCUAGGUGAAGAACCUCCUUCAUACAACCAAACUAGGGGAAGCAUCUAUCUUUCCAAUCUCUUAGGAUUUGGCUGCAAGCAGGCUCUAAAGUAUUGUUCUGAUCAUUGUAUACCGUACUGGCCUGAACCGGAUGGUAAGGGACGUACCAUACCAUAUGGUUCGGGACUAAUAUUCAGUACAGGUGGCAAACUGAUACUCCGUACGUCAAAAAAACUUCGUACCUGUACCGACACUGUGCUAGUGUGGCACCGGUUUGGGGUCCGGUACCGAGAUGACGAACCUUGGUUCUAAUCAUAUGCGUCUAACCAAAUGAAACAUCCAUCAUUCUGGGACUUGGCUAUCCUAUCCCUAAGUUCUUCAAUACCUAAGUUAACUACAUGCCCGGAAUGUGAAUUCGGCAACAUAGGGUUGUGCUACUUUAGCUGCAUUGAGAAAAUGAGAUAAUAAAUUUAAUUACUAUAGUUUUUUCACAUGGAAAAUUCCUUGUUAAGCUUGGCAAGUAUGAUUUUCAGAGAUAAAGGUGCGGGGCACUCAAUAAGAUGGUAUGAACUUGUAUACAGAAGGUUUAAAGGAGAUCUUUUAGCCAUGUUUUGAUCCAAUUAGGCUGGGUUUGAGACAUAUCUGAGAGUAGCAACCCUCUCACACUUCCUAGGCCACUCUAGUAAGUUCAAUAAGACAAAAGGGGUAUCUUUCUAAAUGUAUCUUCCUCCAAUUCUCACUGCCUGAUGGCUUCAGAAAACCAGUCAUCAAUGCCUGAGUGCUCUCCUCUUUCCUUCUCCUUUUUUGUGCUUUGCACUGCAGCAGAUGACUGAAAGAUGGCUAUCACAAUGAACUGUGGCAUUUCAAUACAAUUGUAAACUUUGAGCCCCCCACUCAUUGCUGCUUUUCAUUUAUGCUUGUUGGGCAAUUCUCGCAACUCAUUUACUUUUCUGUCUGAAUAGUUGGCUGGUAUGAGCAAAGGCAAGGGGCCCUCUGGUUUUCCUUUUCCCUUUUUGUGUUUUUCUAUACUUGAUACACUGUAACCAUGUUUUGCCAAGGAUUUAGGCUUUUCUCAGAGGAGAUGAAUUUGCACUAACCAGAUCUUUAGUAUGAUUAUAUAUUAUUAUGUUUAGUUGAGGGAUUGAACAGAGAUUAUUAUUGAGGGGUUGAACAAAGACCAAAUAAACUGCACGGUGGAUCAAACUCUAUAAUGCAGAUAUUGAUUUUAAUAUAAGGGAAAUAAUGUAGACCUACCGUAUCUUCUCAGGAUAUGGAUAUCAAUAUGAGGGGAAAAACCAAGGCAUGGUAUCUUGAUUUUGGUUUGUUAAUUGCAGUAUCAAUACAAAUUUGCAUCUUGAAAAUAUUUUGGUCGGAUUCUUGUAUCCGUCUCUCCAUAAUAAGCAUCCCAUUAGCUCUAUAAGCCCAUGUGUUGGGCAUGAGACUCUUGUUGUACCAUGGCAACAUACACUUUCUCAAGGUUCCCUCUCUCAUUUUAUCUUUGAUGAUGCUUGCCACUUUUGUCCCAAGUCGACUGAUGAAAUAUCAAACUGAACUCUGAUGUCUUCCAACCUGUCCAUUCAUGGAAGGUGAGGUUGCAAUUCUGGAUGGCCUACCUAUGUCUUUGGCCACUUUAAGGCUUCAUUUUACUUUUCUCUUUACUGAGCUAUUAGAUUAGGUAAAGACCAUUAGAUCAAUCUUUCUCUCUCAACCUCGAGCCCCUUCUUGUUCUUGUAUUUUAUUUCUUUCCUCCUGUUAUUCUUCAUUAAUGUGUAAGUUGAGAUCAGAAUUUGUAAAUGUGAAAUUUGUUGUAAAGGAACAAAGGUCUAAAGAUCCUUGAGAAAGGUCAAGAGAGGAACCUAAGUUGCUAGAUUAAUCUUACUUUGAUCUUACCGAAGUCCAAAAUCAUGCUUAGGAGGGGAAAUUGGACAUUUAUUUUCAUUUUCCUUCAUGAAAUGGAAGGAAAAGGUUGAAUUGACAUUGUAAAAUCACCUAAUUGGGUCGUGCAGGAUUGAAUGAUCAAGGAUUGGAGUGCACAGCAGCAGAUGAGUUGAGUUAGAGUUAUCCUUGGCCAAGAAAUAUAUGACUAAUAGAAUCUGAGGAAUCUCCUAGUAUCAUAAUUUGCCUCAACACCUCUGUCUUGUUGAUGAUAUCUCAAGUUUUCUUUUGAUUACUGAGAGAAUGGAAUUGUGAUAAGCCAAAUAAUCUCUUGCCUAAAAAAUUAACCCUUGUUCUUUAUAUAUGCCAGAACAAGAGAGGAGCUUUACAAUGAAUGCUUGAGUAUUUAUAAAUAGUGUAAAUUGCCCUGGCUGGUUUGGUGUGAGUAAGAAUGCACUGAAUUUGGAUCUGGAGAAAUGUAAUGCAUGAUAACAUAAAACUUUUAGAGGGAUGGAUUAAUAUCUAAAAAUGGUUUUGGGUGUCGAUUUAGAGACAAAAUAAACCAGAUUGGGAUGAGAGAGGUUUCAAGAGGUGUCCCUUCUCCAAGUGCUUAGGGAGGAAUUGCCCCCUCAAAAGAGCUUUUUAGCAUUUGAUAAGAAGCUCAUUCUCUUUAAACCUGUUCUUUUCCUUUUCUCUUUAAGUUCAUUCAUUCAAAUUCCCUGAAACAAAUUUCAGUACUUGAUGACAUCUAUUUUGAAGUAUCCUGCUAUUUUUACAGGUAAGAAUCCCAAGUGUCCAAGGAUAUUCAGCAGGGUGCAAUCAGCCUUCAGUAUGGGUGAAACCUCCUCAUGGGAAGGUAAACUUUGUUGAGAUUCCAUUUAGGCUAUGUCUUGGGCCAAAGAGGUACAAAAAAGAUGUUAGAUGGCGCAAAGUCCCUUCGGCAACAGAUAGUAAUAAGGCAGCUGCAGAACCAAACACCACAGACUCUGCAAAUACUGAAACAACUGUAACCAACAAUCAGCUCCCAUCAUCUAAUGUUCAGCUUGAUGUGAAUGGUAGUGGCAAAACCUCCCCUAAAAUGCAGGAGCCCACACCAAAAAGAUCACCUUUGACAGCAAGGGAGAAGCUAAGGGCGGCGCGUGUCCUCAGUAAAUAUGCAGAAUCGCAGCCUUCCAAACCAAAACCUGGUAGUACAGUAUUGGAUGCAUUAAGAGAGAGCGAUAAAGGUAAGAAAAGGUCUGGCCUCCCAGAAGCUCCCACAGAUCUAUUAGAUGAUAGCAAGCGUGGGCUUCCAAAGCAAGGAUUGACCUUUGAUCUGCCUGGGGGCACCGAUCUGUUCCUCAUUGUCUUCUCUUUCGUCUUCAUUAGCACAGUCAUGUUUGCGACAACUUACGUUGUGUGGAGAUCCGGUGCUAUACAUUUUAAUGAAUACUGAAGAGGAAGCAGCCUCUAUACUCAAAACAGUGGAAGCAACCUUGCAGUUCUCUUCAUAUCCUGAUAGCUGUUUGAAAGCAAAAUAAUGGGAGAGGUGAUGGCAAGUGCAAUACUACUCAGUAACAGAUUGUUUGUAAUGCAUUGGUGCUCGUCUGUAGAAUCAUUUUAGGCCAUUGUGAGUUGCACAAGUACUGGCUUUACAAUUCUUUACAAUUCUAUUGCUUAAGAUGGCAGUGUGUCUGCGAAAAGAGAGUAAUUGUAAAUGUUACUCGACCUUUUGCAUCUCAAGGUGGGAGAAAUUAUAUAUAUAUAUAUAUAUAUAUAUGAAAACUAUUAGCCAGGCAAGGCACAGCUCCAGGUAUAGGGAUAUGUUAUCAUGGUUCUCUAAGCCACCGAUUUAUCAUGUCUAUUUAUGGAUGGGUACCACCACUUUCCUGGUUACUUGUAUGAGUUCCAAGUAAUUGGGACGUAGCUCGCUAGCUGUCAAGUGUAACUAUGUGGCCUGGUCAAAAGCAUUGUGUGAUACCUACGUGACAAGUAUGUACAUACUAAAUUACAUGUGAAAGAAGGGAACUACAGGAACCCAAUCAAUUUUAGAGUUCAAGAUUUCUGAGAAGACUGCUGCAAAUUUAAACACUGUAAUCGAAUUUGCAGCUUGUCCAGUUUCAAACAACCAAACAACUCCUAAAUGAAAAAAUAUACUGAAACAAUUUUAAAUAUCUUAUAAAUUUUAUAAUCGUACGAUUAUGCUUGCAUUUAGAUACGACUCUAUUGCAUCUGGAUGCAGAUAAUUACCACAUGGAAUGAGGACAUGAUUUAAUGAGGCUACAAGAUACCAGUUGGCGUUCCACAUUCCUUGCGAUCCAUCAAAGAUGAUUUGCAUCUGAAAUUAGACGAGACCAAACCUUGUGGAAGAUAUCCAGUGGAUACGACAUUCUAAACUCGAGACAGACCAACAAUUCCUUAAAAAAUUAAAUCUUAUAUAUUUAGAAAACUAAGUUAUUUGGAAGUCUAAGAUAAGUUUUUAUAUCUAACUAAGUUCAUCCUAACAAGUUGUUAUAGGAUGACAGGAGAAGCACUAUUUAAUUCGGAUAUAAUUAUUCCGUAGCCCCAUUCUGGUAAAAGUGCUUUUUAAUGCAACGGUAUGAGGAAGGAUAAUUAUUUUUAAUGGGUUCGUAGCUAAUUGGGUUGGGUGUUCAUCCAUUGCCGCAACUUAUGAGAUUGGGCUAUCUCUAGAACACUCAUAAAACUAAGAUACUAACACAAGGCUGAAAAUUGUUAGCCCAAAUGAACUUGACAAUAACCAGAACUAUAUGUGUGGCAUGUGAAAUUUGUAUCAAAGAUCCUAGUUCAAGACUCUGAUCACUAUGGACUCUAUAAAUGGAAUAUGUUAACACUAAAUAAAGGUUAAAACCCACAAGGUAUCUUUACCUAUUGCACAGCAUUCUUAGUUUAGCUGUAUUUUGUAUGUGUUAUACGAUUUUCAAAAUUUUAAAUUAUGUGGAGAGUUGUUAGUUUAUUACUGAAAUAUUUAAUUAAUAAACCAACACAAUUAGCCUAGGAUAAUUUGAGGAAUAAUAUGCACAAGGCAUCUUUAUGGAUUUAUAGUGGCAAUUUUCAGAUUUACAUCGACAAAAACUGCCUCGUAGGCGGAAUUUUAUUUUAAAAGUAUGAUAAAAAUAAAUGCCUUUUUUUUUGAUAAAACAGAUGAACCAUAUAAAUCUAGUAUAAGUACAUUCAAAAAGUUAGAAAGUAAAAUAUUCCGAAAAAAGAUAGCAAGGAUGUAUCAUCCGUCCACGGUAUCUUGCUGAAAUAAUCGGUAAGAAAGUAUGGAAGGCGGCUCUAUUCGCUUUGUUUUUAAAAAGGAGAUUCCGUACAAAAAAAUUGAAACUACCGACAAACGACUAAUUGCGGGUUUUCAAAAAUAAUCCCAAUAAAUAGCCCCAUAAGAAACCUGUGGAGAAGAUUUUAUUAAAAAAUAUAUACAAUCAAAUAAAAAAGGUUGUGAAUAUAAAAUUUCAAAACAAAGAGAAAAAAAAGAGAACAAAUGAUGAAUUAAUUGUAUCUCAACCCAAAGCCAUUUUAAUAAUAACAUUCCUAUAUAUGCUGCAAGAAGAGGAGAAACUCAGAUUUAGAGGCUGCUGCUUGCAGGACUACAUCAUCAUGACUUUAAACUCGUCAAAGCUAAUCACCCCAUCCCCAUUAAGGUCAAACCUACAAAUCAUAGCCCGGCACUCCUCCAGCUCCCUGGACGCGCCCAGCCGGCUCAGCAUCCGCUUCAGGCUCCUGGGCGUGAUGCACCCCUCCCCCUCCAUCUCGUACAUCCCGAACGCCUCCAUCAGCUCCCUCUCCUUCUCCUCUUCCUCCACCCCCACCAACCCCACAAACUCCUCCAGGUCCAGCAACCCGUUGCCGUCCUUGUCGGCCGACCUCACCACCGCCUCGGCCUCCUCGAGGCUCAUCUCCUCGCCGACAGCCCUCAUGAUAAGUCGAAGCUCGGCCGAUGAGAUCUUUGCAUCGCCAUCCACAUCGAAUCGGCCGAAGACUCGUUCGAGUUCCGAAUGAUCACCGAUCUUUUCCGAAGAUGAUGGAUUGGGAGAAGGACUAGCUUCUUUCUCUGUCUUAGAAUUCGAGCAGGAAGCCAUUCCAAUUAAGUAUUCUCUGUGUUGAGAUUUUUAGUGAUUUUAGAGGAAAGAGAGGAGCAGAAGAAAGAUUAGGAGGCAAUUGGAUAUAGGUACACACACACACACACACACACACACACACACACAUAUAUAUAUAUAUAUAUAUAUAUAUAGAGAGAGAGAGAGAGAGAGAGAGAGAGAGAGACGNNNNNNNNNNNNNNNNNNNNGAGAGAGAGAGAGACGUGCAUGCAGAGUUUUGGAGAAAACGUCAGAGGCAUGCACGGAAAUUAGAAGUUUUGAAGGGGAGGGACGAGGUCGUACACGGGCUUGGUCGCUUUGACGUGGAUAUAUACGUCUGGAAGGUUGGGAGAGGAGAUUGGAGGCUGGCACGCGAUGAAAGCCGUUUGAAAGGGUCUGACUCUGGACCCUGGGAAUGGAGAGGUCCAAAAUGCUGUGCAACUUUGGGACGAAAGGAGCAGAUAUUGGACGGUCUGGAUUGCUUAAUCAGUACCGGGAUUUCUGGUGGGCCAACGAAACGGUCGAAUGGCGUGAAGAGUCAAACUGAUGCCAUUUUCUUGACGCCGCUGAUGAUGCCAUGAUUGAUGGCUGGACUGACGGCCGAUCGUUUCCCACGAUGGAAUUGGUUUCUCGGAAGCUUCAAUGAUGGUUGAAUUCGAUUUGACUUCCUCGUACCAUGGGGAACUGCGAGCGUGACGAGAAACGCGUCCAAGCCGUAGGAAGAAGUCGAAACCCCACGGGAGAGUAGUUUCUGUCAUUCCUCGCGUCUUACCCGACGUUUUCCGAUUUGAAGGUAUCUAAUUUGGUGAUUUCCUCGUUUCCCACCUGAUCAGUUGCCGGUUCCCAGUAUAUUUUGAUGGGUUCUCAUUAGAUGGGUACAUUCUUUCUCAUUUUUAAUGAAAAAGAAUCUAUGUAUGCAUAUCGAUCCCUAUUUUUUAAUUUUAUUUUAGUUUCUGAAAUUCUGUAAUUAGUAUUUAAUACAUCCCUCAUGUUAAGAACAAAAUAUUUUACUUUUUUUUUCAAUGACAUUAAAAUCAUAUUUAUUGGAUAUUUUUUGCCCCCGUUCUCAAGUCCAGAGCAACAUUCCUUCUAAAAUGGGAACAUUUUUGGCCUAUUGUAAGCUGGUUGAGGAGGACUACAAAUGUAAUUGUCGAGUUGUGCAUUGAGCAGGUUUGGCUUGAAGGUGACUCUGUUACGGUCAUUUCUUAGCUUAAUAAUUCAUUCAAAUACAAAUUAAAUCUUAUGCCAGUUACAUCUCUCAUGUCUACCGUGAGCCUAAUCAAGCAGCCGACUGUAUGGCAAGUCAUGUUCUGCGAGGGAAUGUUGUGUGGACUCAUGGGGAUGUUCUGGAUCCUCCAUUUGCGGCCAUCCUUCAUGCUGAUGGGUACAAUGCUCAUUAUAUUGGAAAUGUAUAAGGUCCUUUGUGAUCAUAGUAUCAAGCCAGUUAUGGCAGCAGACUCUUGGAAAUUAAUUUUGCUUUUACCUUCAGGUUGUCUUAUUUGCUCUUUUGAUACAGUAUGCCUCUAUGAAUGAUGUGGGCAAGCAUUGGAACCUCUGUCUGAUUUCUAUCUUCAUAAAUUUAUUAUGCUCUGUUUCUUGAAAGGAAGGGCAUGAUCUUUCAAUCUCUAGAAUCUUUUAUAUAAAUCUUUAAGGAUUGUUUACAAUGAUCUUGAUAGCCUUGCAGGUAUUCCAGGAAGUUUUUUAGCAAAUACACAAGGCAAUAUGUUCCUUUGGGUCCUCUUAUUUUGUCUUCAGGCUAUCAUGAGAUUUGCUAGGAAUUACAACUACCUAGAAUCUAUAGGUCUGAAUUUCUGUCAGCCAGUUUGCUUCUCCAUUGUUUUCCAAAUGGUGUCUUCUUUACCAUAUGCUAGGCUUAGAGCCAGAUAUCCUUUACUGCUGAAUGGGAUGCAGAGCUUUAUAUAUUUAUAGGACUUGUUUAUAUCUUUCUUUAUUUCUGUAAGGCGGAAGCUGAACCUAUUGGGAACAGGGGUUGUGCUCUUCUCAAGUUCUAAGAUUGUUGACUUAUAUGCAUUGCCAAUUUCAAGUUGGACUGAAGCAGUCGAUUUUCACUGGGAUGCUAGAAAGAAACGAGCAUAAAAGGAAGAGAUAGUUUUGAAUUGUUUGGCUUGAUUACUAUUUGCUUGUAUCUCAGUUCAAUAUAUAGAGAUUUACAAGUAACAGAAUUCAGUAUCUAAAGGAGUACAGUUAGGAUUCACAACAGCUACAUUUGUUACAGACGUUAGGAAGAGUUCGAAUUUGUCAAACUGAUUGAGAUGGCAAAACUGAUUGAGAUUUUUCUGCAUAAUUUUUGCACUGCUCCCUGACUGGGCCUUGUGAUACUCUAACACCCCCUUGCAAACUGAUGGGGAGGGCAUACACCAUUAGUUUGUGACGCAAAAACUGAAAUCGAGCUGUUGGAUGACCUUUUGUGAAUAUGUCAGCAACCUGAUCAUGUGUGGAUACAUGCUUCACCUGAAUGUCACGAUUAACCAUCUUCUCCCUAAUGAAAUGGUAAUCGACUUCUAUAUGUUUUGUUCUUGCAUGAAAUACUGGAUUUGAGGCUAAUGCAAUGGCUCCAAUAUUAUCACACCAUAAGAUUGGUGAAGAGGCCAAAAUAACAUGUAAUUCUUUUAGUAACAUGCGAAUCCAAUGCAUCUCUGCAGUUGCCAAGGCCAUGCUUCUAUAUUCAGCUUCUGUACUUGAUCUGGACACAAUCCCUUGUUUUUUUGCACUCCAGGAGAUAAGGUUCCUGCCAAGAAAAAUACCAUAUCCACUUGUACUUUUCCUGUCAUCUGGAUUUCCAGCAAAGUCAGAAUCACAAAAUGCAUUCAAAGUAAUAGUAGAUGGUGAAUAAUGAAGACCAAAAUCAACCGUCCCUUUUAAAUAGCGGAGCACUCUUUUGACAGCAACCCAGUGAGGUUCCCUCGAACUAUGCAUAAACUGACACUGUUGGUUUACGGCAUAGGAUAUAUCUGGUCUAGAAAUUGUGCAAUAUUGAAGAGCUCCAACAACACAUCUGUACUCAGUCGGAUCAAGAAGCAAUUCACCUUGUUGAGACGACAAUUUCGUACCAGAUAUGAUAGGACACGCCAAUGGUUUGGCGCCAAUCAUUUUGGUACUUUCCAGCAAAUCAGUAAUGUAUUGUGCUUGCCUUAGGUGCAGACCCAAGGUGUCUCUAGAUGCCUGAACACCGAGAAAAUAGCUCAACUCUCCCAGGUCCUUGAUGUGAAAACUCAACUUCAACUGUUCAAUAAACUUGAGAAUUGCCUCUUUGUAUGAACCUGUUAUAAUGAUGUCAUCUACAUAUACCAACACAAACAUUUUUAAUUUGUCAGUACAGUAGGUGAAUAAGAAAUAGUCAACUUUGGAUUCAGAAAAUCCAAAAUCAAGAAGUUGCUGGGAGAGCCUACGAAACCAAGCUCUAGGGGCUUGUUUGAGCCCGUAGAGUGACUUGUGGAGGCGACAGACAAAAUCUGGAUUAUUUUCAUCUAUGAAACCACGGGGCUGUUCCAUGACUUCUUCAUCUAGGACACCAUGCAAGAAGGCAUUGGAAACAUCUAACUGCCUUAUAUUCCAACUGAAAGUCACUGCAAGUGCUAACACCAACCGAAUUGUGGUAGGUUUCACAGCUGGAGAGAAUGUUUCAUAGUAAUCUAUACCAGAACGUUGAUCAAAUCCUUUCGCUACCAACCUCGCUUUGUAGCGUUCAAUGCUACCAUCUGGAUUCCGCUUGAUUUUAUACACCCAUUUGUUCCUCACAACAUGUUUAUUUGAUGGUCUUGGACAGAGGGACCAUGUUCCAUUCUCCAUCAAUGCAUCAAAUUCACACCCCAUAGCAGUACGCCACUCUGGUUUUGACACUGCCUGUGUGUAGCAAGAUGGCAUAAUUUCAGGAACAAUACUGGACAGGACUUUGAGAGGAUAUCGAGUAGCAUAAAAGGUCUUAUAAUCAGGAUACUGUUUUGGUUUGGAAUUUCCAGUUUUGGACCGAGUUAUGAUUUCUCGAUGGGUAGUGGAAGUUGUUGUGGUUUCUGUCGUUGGCUGAGUGAAUGGAAUCAAAACAGGUGGGUUCAACUCAGGCAGGGUAAGUGACUGUGAGGUUGGAGUUGAGUUGGACUCAAGAACUGGUAUUCCUGCAUGUGAUGGAGAUAUAUUGUUAUCUCCAAAAUUAUACGGUGUAGAUUCCUGUAAAAUAGGAAGAGGCAUAUGUGGAAUGGUCUCUGAUUGGUUAUCAGAAUUCUGGUGCACAAGGAUAUCUUCAUAAGAAUUACUUUGCACAUUUGACAAUAAAGGAACUGAAAUUGGUAUAAGAGACAUACCUGGUGACAUAUCACUCAUUUUGACUGAUGAGAUUGAGCAUUUAUCCAUUGCAGGAAAAGAGUCUUCAUUAAAUACUACAUGUCUCGACACAUACACUCUUCCUGUGUCCAAGUCUAAGCAUCUAUAUCCUUUCUGUUGGCUGGCAUAUCCUAGAAACACACAUUGCUUGCNNNNNNNNNNNNNNNNNNNNNNNNNNNNNNNNNNNNNNNNNNNNNNNNNNNNNNNNNNNNNNNNNNNNNNNNNNNNNNNNNNNNNNNNNNNNNAUGAAGAACAAAAUAUGGUGAUAAAUUAUUCAAGAUCCUCGUAGGUAAACGGUUUAUUAAAAAUACUGAUGUUAUGAAAGCAUCAACCCAGUAAUUAUUCGGUAGGUGUGCUUUUGCUAAAAGAGAUAAACCUAUUUCUUGAAUAUGUCGAUGUUUUCUCUCAGCAAUGCCAUUUUGCUGAGAGGUAUGUAGACAAGUUAAAUGAUGAAGUAUCCCGUGCAUUGAUAAAAAUUCUUUAAAUUCGUUUGACAAAUAUUCUCCACCGUUAUCUGAUUGUAAUUGCUGAAUCUUACAAGUAAAUAAAUUUUCGACAAGGGGAAAAUACAUCAGAUUUAUAACGCAUGGGAUACAUCUAUGUGAAUCUGCUAAAAUCAUCGACAAAUAAAACAUAAUAGCGGCAACCACCAACCGAGGUUACUGGGGAUAUCCAAACAUCAGAAUGGAUGAGAGCUAAAGGUCUUGUAGAUUGCCGUGUGGAAUCACUAAAGGGUAGGCAUUUAGCUUUUCCUAGUUGACAGGACUUACAAAAACUUAACUUAUUGGCAGAUUCCUUAAUCGACAGAUAACCAAGUAAAUGGUCUAAAGUUGAUUUUGAAGGGUGUCCUAACCUAUCAUGCCAAUGAUCCAAUUGUAGUCUUUAUUCCCAGCUUUGCAAUGAGACAUCGAAGUUUAUUUGAAGCACUCUUGUGUCCAACAAACGGAUAAAGGCCAUUCUCAACCAGCCCGUGGAGCAAUAGUCGCCCUGUCUUGUUCUCCUUUACACAAAAAUCAACCCCAGUCAGUAUAAAGUAACAAUCAUUAUCAAGACAAAAUUUAUUAAUGGAUAAAAGAUUGGUGGAAGCAUUUGGGCAGUGAAGGAUGUUGUUAAGAUUAAAGGAUGAUUUGCCAAUGUCUAUGGAGGUUGAUCCAGUGUUUUGAAUCACUAAACCUGAGCCAUUGCCCACCGUGACAGUGUCUUGACCUUCGUAGGGCUGCUGGUUUGUCAAAUUUGCAGCAUUGGCGGUGAUAUGAGCAUUUGCCCCACUAUCAGCAUACCAAACUUGUUGAUCAUAAGUGUUGUUGGCCUCUGCUGCCAUGGCUGCAAGAUCAACUGGUUUGAAGGGAGUCCCAAACCUGUUUGGAUGUCUUCAUACCAUAGACAGAAGAUACUAGCUUUUCUGUAAUUGAAGCCAGUAACCAACUUAAGACACAGGUGUCUUUCUUGAACCACACUGCGUAAGCUGGGUUUGAUGUUCCAUCUGGAAGAGUUUUUGCUGGAGCAGGAUCAGCUCCAUCCAUGAUGCCAACAAGAUCGUGGCUCCUCAGAAAGACAAGGAAUUGGAUGCUCCAUGGCAGAUAAUUGGAGCCGACCAAUUUGUGAGACACAGGUUGAGAAUUUGUCUAAAUGGAUGGAUUUGGUAGGUUGGUAGAUUCAAGUGAGGCCAUUGGACUUGUGUUUUGAUGUUUUGGUGCGGAAGCGUAUUGACUAGGAUUAGGCGUUUGCCUUUGAGGGCUCUGAUACCAAGAAAGAAACGAGCAUAAAAGGAAGAGAGAGUUUUGAAUUGUGGCUUGAUUACUAUUUGCUUGUAUCUUAGUUCAAUAUAUAGAGAUUUACAAGUAACAGAAUUCAGUAUCUAAAGGAGUACAGUUAGGAUUCACAACAGCUACAUUUGUUACAGACGUUAGGAAGAGUUCGAAUUUGUCAAACUGAUUGAGAUGGCAAAACUGAUUGAGAUUUUUCUGCAUAAUUUUUGCACUGCUCCCUGACUGGGCCUUGUGAUACUCUAACAAUGCUAUGAUAUGGUUUCUCUUCCUUAACACAGUCUUACUCGUUUAUUUUCCUGCUCUUUUGCCUAUUCGUACUCAACAGGGCCUCUCCAUGUAUCCUGAAUUCAAGCAGCUACGGGAAAUUGUCUGGAACUUUAAUAUUAUAAAAGAUUUCUGCUCUAUUUCUCAGGGGAGGUUGAACGAUUAUUUUACCCUUGGAACGUUUGCCACACAGUUGUAUGGGAUGCCAAGGCCAAACUAGAAUGUCCUGCAAUUAUUCAGUCCAUAUUAAUAGCUGCUGCACCCUUUACUGUGCUUUCUUGGGCUGUCAUGAUCUAUUCUACUCUUCAGGCCAUUAGGAUGCAUAGGAUGUAUCACUGCCGGGAGACUAUGACUUUGGUGCUAUAUCAGUUAUAUGUAUUGUGGGAAUAAAGAGUCUCGAACUUAGUUCCACAUCUGUUAGAUAGCGAAAAAGGUCUGUGCCUUAAAUGGAUGGAGGAACCAUUUCCCUCGCAAUGCGCCUUUUUGUAGGACAAAACCGUGCGAGGGGAAGAGGCUUUGAAACCCCUCCCCAAAGUAGACAAUAUCUUGCGAGGGAUGCAGCCAUUUUUCUAUCUACGAUCGGUGAGGACUAAGAUUUGAGGCCUGCAUACCCUCGACCUCAUCAUUGGUGCUUUCGUUGAGAGCCCUUGAGCCUGGUACAGACCUUCCCGCUGAGAGGGCUGAUAUUGUGGGACUAAAGGAUCUCGAACUUAGUCUUAUAUCGGUUAGGUAGCGGAAAGAUAUGUGUCUUAAAUGGAUAGGAGAACCCUUUUCCUCGCAAGACGCCUUUUGUGGGGCAAAACCGUGCGGAGGGAAGAGACUAUGAAAUUCCUCCCCAAAGCGGACAAUAUUUUGUGAGGGACGCAGCUAUUCUUCUGCUUACGAUCGGUGGGGACUAAGAUCUGAGGCCGGGGGAUACCCGCGACCUCAUCAACAUGUAAUCCUUAAAGUCCUCAGCAGGAUAGUUAGGUUAUAGUCUUGUUUGUUGCCAUAUACAUCUCUUUUACUGUUGGAUAUCUUCUAUCCCAUGUAUGUGUAUGUGUGGGUUCUUAUAUUCAUAUGUGUUUCUCAGAGUUUGUAAUACUUUAUUUUGGAGUCAAGCUCACCUCCUUUUACUCAGACAAACGAAACCCGGUGUAAAAGUACUAAAAGCUAAAAGAUGAUAGUUUUUCUUGAAAGCAGAUAAGAUGAUAUAAAUUGUGAAAUUAAUAAUAAUUGAUAAAUUAUCUCCAUAAUUGGAAGGCGACAAUGACAACAAUUAUAUCAUCAAUACCAAUAAAAAUAAAAACAAAGCAUAGUUAUUUCGCUUGUUGUUGCUGCUAAAUUUUGAGCCGAGAUUGGUCAUUGCUUGGUCUGCUAUAAAGUCGGUGAGCAUCGAAGAGACGUAAGGUCGGAUAAGAUCGAGUUAAGUAAAAAUUGGUCGCCACUGAGGCCAACCUGCAAAAAGUCUACUUGCUGAAAAUUUCUAACGGAAGACCCUCUAAUGCUUAAGUCAGAAUACUGGUGCAACGGUGUGGAAUGAAGAAAAAUUAGUAAAGGAAAAUCUCCAAAUGAGCUUAUUCUUCGGGUUAUCUCUUUAUAUAGAGUAAAAUAUGCAUCAGUUACCUAGUUUAGCGCUACGUGCCUUAACUGUAUGGUAACGGUUGGCUGCACGUUGACAACAUAAUAACCAUUCUGCGCAAGUAGCAUAUGGCGAUGAUUGCGUCGAUCGUGCUCUAACUGCAAUCUUGGUUUAACUGUUAGUCUUUAUUACUUCGAGCAAAAUGGCAUCUUAGUUUUCGCCGACGUCAUUCAUUUGGUUAUGGCCGAAGUCAAGAAUGUUGCUUCAAGCCGAGGUUAAGAUGUCUAAUAUUAUCUUCAUCACUUAUCAUGUUUGUAAAGUAAAACAUUUAAAUGAAUUAACAAUAAAUUCAUGGAUAGUUGAAUGACCCGAGUAAUUUAAUUGCUCGACGAUAACUAACCAAGCCACGUAACUGUUGAACAAACUAAAGCAAUAUCUAAUGGGAAAAAAGGCCAGCUGGAACUAACAAUGCCAACUCUGCAUAAUUUCUUGCUAAAAUAAACUCUAACAAUCUAAUAAAUGAUUCUGUAAGAACUUCAGAUCCAACAGUGUAAACUAAUUUGCCAACACUUAUGUAGAGCAAAAUCUCAUGGUAUAGGGUGAGAUGACACUGUGCCUUUACGCAUGUGAAGGGUACUUUCCUUGAUAAGAGCAUUCUAUUCAAACAGCUUUCCAAAGUAUAUGCGAGGCGUCGAACCAGAAGGGCUUUGCCCGCACCUAAAUCACAAGUACGAAGAGACGUUCCUUACCCAAAAUUAAAAGACCGCAUAAAGCGUGGAUGCCUCAAGAAUAAAAUAAAAUAGAAUACCGGGAGCAUACUACAAUAUUAAAAAAAAAAUUGCAUUCAUUUUUUCCUAAAUAUCAAAAUUUAUAUGAGCAACCUUCCAAAAUUAAUAUUUAUAUUUAUAUCUCUAUAAAAUAUUUAUUUUGUAUAUAUAUUUUUAAUUUUUAUUAUUUAUAUAUAUAUAUAUAUACCAUUUAAUGUUAUUAAAAUAUUAGCAGUCUAAAAUUAAAAAUAAUUAAUUUUUUUUUAAUGAAUAGAUAUGUAAAAAAAUAUUAGAUAAAAGUAUAUAGAUCUGAAGUUCUAAAAUAUCAAAGAAAAAACUACUCCUUCAAGAUUUCUUUUUUCAGAAACAUUCACGGUAGCGCUGGGGCUGAUGUACUUUAUUUACAUUUGAAACGCAAAGAGGGAGCAAGCGGUGGAGGAGAUCUAAUCCUGACGGCUGGAUGCGGAGUCGGACGAGACGAUGAUGGGGAUGGCACCGCCGCCCUCCGAUCGCAGUCUGUUGAUGUAACUCCUCACCUCCUCCGCGAUCAUCUCCCGCAUUAUCGACACCAAGCACAUCUCCCGCAUCUCCGCGUCCCACCGCGCCUCCCCCCGCACCCCUCCUCCACCGCCCCCGGCGGCGCCGCCCUCCCCCGGCGGGCUCAGCGUCAGCGACGUCGCCAGAUCCGCCGCGAUCGGCACCAACGGCGGCCGCAGGGGCGGCGGGGGAGGCGGAGGCGAAGGGGCAGGCAUCGCCGCCACAACCACCGUCGCCACCUCUCUCCCGCUGACUUCAUCCCUCCUGCACGGCCGCUUGCCCGCCGUCUCCGAGUCGGACUCAUCGGGGUCGGCGGAAUCGGCGGCUAAGGGAACUGGAACAGAAGCGGGGGUGGCAGGGGCGAUGGCGGCAGCGACGGCACGGCGGCGGCGGCGGCGGAGAGUGGAGUUCCAGUGGUUCUUGAUGGCGUUGUCGGUGCGGCCGCUGAGUUGGCGGGCGAUGGUGGCCCACUUGUUGCCGUACUUGGCGUGGGCGGCGACAAUGACGGCGUCCUCAGCCGGAGUGAACGGACGGUGGUGGACGGCAGGGCUGAGCUGGUUGCACCAACGAAGGCGGCACGACUUGCCGGACCGGCCGGGAAUCCCUGAGCUAAUCAGAGUCCAAUUCCGGGGUCCGUGACGCUCCACCAGCCGCUUUAGCUGGGCGUCCUCUUCCUGGCUCCACGAACCUUUGAUCCGCUGCUCUCCAUCCACUCUCUCCCCUCCCCCACCUUCCAUCACUACCAUCCCCUCUUCUCUUCUUCUUGAUCCUUUUCUUCUUCUCCUCCUCCUUAUAUUCUUCUUGCUUUCAUAUAUAUCAAAAUAGUAGUAGGGUGAGAGGGGGGGUUGGGGACUGGCAAGAAGGGUUCGGUUCGUUGUUUUCGGUUUAGAAGAAGGGGGGCGAAGAAGAGGGAAUGGGGGGUUUCCGGUUUUGGGUUCCAUCUUCAACAACCGUCUCGCUUUUCAGAAAGGGAGGGUUGGUUGGCUGGCAGGCAUGAACCGUAAACCGCUCACCUGUAAAACCACCCGCAAAACCGCGUGGGCUACCUCUUCUAUGCGCACUCCAUUCUAUUCAGUACGCAACUCUAGUCUACGCUCUGAAAACCGAAAAUCCGGGAAGGCAGCAGUUCUAGAAGUUUAAAACAAGGGUGUUUAUAUCAAUCACCGUAUAUCAGUGGUACUGGACCGUGGGGCGCCAAGUACAAGGUGGUUACUGGACUCGAUGUCCCUUCUAAAACAAUGCACGAAUUUCGUAACAGCAUGCUUAUAUUUACUUUAUUCCCCCUUAUUAGCCAUAUUUUACUAUUUUAGUAAUAAAAUUCAUUUUUUUUUGGACAGCGAAGCACGUUUCUUGCCAAAAAAAAAAAAGCGAAAAAGGAAUAGUGGCAUGUUAAUAGAUGCUUAGGAGUUAGGACUACCUAACUUCUUUGUAAGCCGUCCAUAUAGUACAGCCUUGAUAUGGUAGACUUUAAAAUAAUAAAUUUUGCAUAGGCUGAUCUAAGCAAAGUUAGAAUAGUAACCAUGUUACGAUGCAUGAUCAUACAGUGCAAAAUUAGAUUGAUGCAACUUAUUACUACACCACUAUCUGCUCUAAAAAGACAUUAGAGUGUGGCUAAUAUUUAAAUCUACAAGGUUAGAAACUAUCCCCUAAUAGCAGGUACGGCUCCGUCCUCCAAGACGAAUUCCAGUACCAAUUCAAUGGCCGCGUUGCGUUAGUUAUGACCAUAACAUGCUCUUCCCUCGUCUUUUCCACCAAACAGUAUGGGAACCUAAACAAUAGGCUGGUGAGAUAUCAAACACAAGGCGGUGAGGGGACCGCCAUCAUUUAAUCGUCUUUAAAGAAGAAGCAGCUUCUCCAGCUCACUGAUGUGGACUUUCCAAUAUACGUGUCCACCGAUUCGACGGGCCCCGACGUUGUAUCAAACAAAUCAAGAAUUCCACGUCCUCAGCCAUCCUUCCCCCUUGCGAGCCUCACGCCGUCCUCUUGCUAUCGUAACGCCGUCGUUCCGCUCAAAAAGGCCGGCGUAGCGGCUUGACUGAGUCGUAAGGGCAGACAUACCAACUUCACGGCUUUACCAACUUCAGAAAUUAACGGCGCUCGUUUUUUUCUUUUUUUCUUGCAACCGUUUGAUAACAUUGAUCUUUAAUUACGCAAUCAGGAGAUAUUUUAAUUUAAUCAAAGGUUAUGGCGUUUAUUGGCUCUCAUUGUACUAUCACCGUCAGAUCAUGAUCAGACGGCUGGUGUGGCGUCUCUACGUUGAAACUAGUUUACCGAAGGGUUGGACUCGCUUUUUGGUUUUGAUGAGAUCGGAUCUGGACGGACGCGGAUAUGGUCAUCGGACAGCUGUUGCAGGGUCCCAUUCGGGGACAUCAUCGAACGUCUACCGUUUGAUGUGGGGCCCGAAGAUAUUAACUGUCGGAUCACGACAGGCUAGCAGGCGCUAACGGCCAGAUCGCGUCGGCGUGUUCGAAUGUCGUUGUCGGGUCAGAUGCUGCGCGAACGGAACACGCCGUUGGAGGUGACGUGGGCCGGUCAGCAGUUCUGUUUGAAGCGCGACAGAUGAGGAACGGCAACGUUUUGCGUACGUUAUAACAACUCUAGAUGAACGUAUUAAAGGAACUCCAAAUCGAACCCUAAACAGGUGCGAGAUGGAUAGAGAGAGAGAGAGAGGAGACACUCUAUCUAAGGUAGUAAGGUGAUCUAAUACACUGCAAGUGUGGCACCCAAGUGGUCGACUUUGUGAUUCUUUUCUAUUUGUAUAGGAGAAUAACUUCCUUCUAAAAGUCCGGUGAUGAGAUAGGAGAACAUCCAAGAGCAACAGCUAUAUCCCAUUGGCAUUUUAAAAUCGUAAGGAAAGACCGAAAGAGGGAGGAAAAAAUAUCACCAAGCCCGUUCUUCUGAGAAUAAAAACUUUAUCCAAAAAUUUAUAUUUUUUAGAUAAAUAUUUUCUAAAUAAUAUCUAGAUAAAAAAUAAUUUAUUCAUAUUUUUUUAUGCAUUGGAAAUAGCUUCGAAAUUUAUUAUAUAUGUUCUUUUGUAUUACCUCUUUUCCCAGUUAGUUUCUAUCUAUAUUUUCUAUAAUAAUAUAUAUAUAUAUGUAUAUAUCUUAUUAUAAAUAUUGUUACAUUAUAAAUAAUAAAAAAUAUUUAAUAAUAUAUAUUAUUAUAUUUAAUAAUAUAAUAUAUGAUAUGAUAUUAUAUAUUUUAUAUUAUAAUAAAUAGUAUUGUAAUAUAUAUGAUAUAUUAUAUUAUAUAUUAUUAUAUCUUAUUAUAUAAUAUCAAGGUUAGAGUAUUUUAGGAACAAAAUUAAAAGAUUAUUUUAUUCGUUGAUGGGAAAAUGACUUACCCACCUUUUAGAUUGGUAGGACUUUCAUCUUCUUUUAUGAGUAAAAGCUAUUCAUGGAAAAAUAAUUUAUCCAUUCAGAAAAGUAUGAGAAUAUGGGUAAGUUGGUAAAUAAAAAAUUUAACUAACUUUUUUCAUGAUAUUUCUCCUUUAAAAAACGGGCCCUUAAGCAUUUUCAGCCUAUUGUAUUUCUUUAUGUAGUGCUAGCAGCCAUAGAUUGUGAUGGUUACCAUAUUGAAGAAGAUUAUAAUUUUUAAGAUACGACUAAGAAAUUAAUUAGCUGUUGCUUGUAUGGUUAAAGAUGUCACGAUCAUAUUUUCAUGAUAAAAAAUUGAUUAUAUAUUUGAAAAGAAUUAUCUUUUGAGUAUUUGUCUUGUAAUUUGAAGGGCUGGUCAAUGUUUGAUAGUUGCUGUAGCCACGGUUUUAAAAUUCUGUGUUUCUCUUCCGUGUCGAACUUUGAGGGCUCACACGGCAUUCGUACUUACCUGUGAAGAUAUCGAGAAAAAAGGUGCUCUUUUGUCAAGAUGAAUAAUGAAGUGAUAAAGGUUGUGAAACGCCAAUUUAAUCGGCUAGUUCUCUUUAAUGUUUCUUGCGCCUCUCUGUAUGUCCUCACUUGUUGGGUACAAUGCUCAUUNNNNNNNNNNNNNNNNNNNNNNNNNNNNNNNNNNNNNNNNNNNNNNNNNNNNNNNNNNNNNNNNNNNNAUACAUAUAUAUAUAUAUAUAUAUAUAUAUAUAUAGUGAUUUUAUAUAGUUUAUUUUGUCAAUAAAUAUUCAACAAGCUGCACAAUGCUGCUAUGUGAAUUGAUAAAUUUGAAUUAUGGUUGGAUUAUGCUGUAUACAUCAUGAAAACAAUUGAGAACCAUAUACAUUGAAAGAAAUCGAAUAGCCUUAUCAAUCUACACCAUCGGUUGUCACCAUCCUUUAGUUCAUUCCGACUACAAUGGCCACGAUGCACCGUUGCAGAGUUACCAUAGUACAUCAUUAGCAAUAGAAUAGCCUUAUCAUCAUCUACUUAGGUUCCAAAACUUAAUCCACACUCCUCAAAAAACGAGAUAUAAAUCUGCUAUCUCAAUCUGAUACAAUGAUGAUGAAGGCCCCAUACCAUUUGACAAUCUUUUGACGUACAUGCUCGCUAACCUCUCGAGGAAAAGACCAAUCUUAAAAGUGAAAAGUAUGCCAACUUCAUCAUUCGAUCAAUCUAUAAUUAUCCAAACUGCAUCAUUACUAUCAAGAGUUCUACGCAAACCUAUCAUAAAAUCCAUAACGACGUGCUCUAAUUUCUACCCAGGAAUGGACUUGGCUCACUAUUUCUCAACUGAUAAUUAGGCCAUAUGCGUAGCCCCUUUAACUGUAGUGUAGGGAGGCCUCUGGUUGCUGACGCGUCUAAAACACAAAUCCUCCAUUCCUCCAUCCACUUAUCCAUUAUUUCUUGUUGCAGUGUUGCUUGACAUCAGCUGGGGGUCAAGUGAACAUGACUGGAACUUUCCAUUAGCAAGGAUGAUCUCAUUGAAUUGAGCUUAGGUUUGAGAGAUGCCGUAAAAUCAUGGGUCAGAGCCUGUUUCUGGCCAAGUUCAAAGCCUUUAAUGGACAUGGAAUCGCUUUUGAAUCUCACUUUCCUCAACUUCGGUGGGAGAAUUUAUUUGUCCAUAGGAUAUUUUGGUAUGAGGCAAUCUAUAGUUUUAUCAGCAUGGCAUCAGAUAGGUGAAAGGCCUCUGCAUUUGAGUUUAGAGGUUCCACAUAUUUGAUGUGGUUUACUCUAAAUAAAGGUUCAACUUCUGAAGAAUGCGGCGAUCUAGCUCAACCUUUUAGAGGUUUAAAGCAAAACAUAAAAUACGUAUACUGCUAAAAAAAGCACCAGCACUUUGUAGUGUUUGGUCUCUACAGAAAAUUAGUCAAAAGAAGAAGGAAAAUUUAAUAAAAAAUUAAAAAAAUAAAGAGGAAGAAAACUAUUAAGGACUCCAUGGUUUGUAAAAAAGUAUUUUUUUAUUGUAAUGUUUUUCUGAAAAGAUCAUACCUGGAUAUAUAAUAUCUAUUUAUGUAUCUUUGGUUGGCCAUGAAAAAGUAAUAUAUUUAAGAGUGGUUUAUGUUUGAUUUAUCAUAUAUUUUUUUGAAAAAGUUACUUAAAAUAUUUAUUAUAUUUUUAAUAAAAAAAUUAUUUAAUUCUAUUUGAAAGCUUAAAGCCACUUUUAGUUGAAAAAAAAGUUAAAUUUUUAACAUAUAGUAGAGUGACUUUCUCAAGUCACACUUUUUGAAAAAAAUAUAAAAAUCUUAUUUUCAUUAAAAAAAUUAUUUUUUAUUUUUUAAAAAAUAAUUAAAUUUUUAAUAUUUUUUUCUUGUUUUAUUGAUCAGGCUUUCCUUUCAAUUUCUCUGAAGUCUGAACCAAAUAAGUUCUGCAAUCGUAGCCAUAACAGCGAUUUUAAAACUUUGUUUUAUUUCGCCAAGAGCAGCCACCUGUUCGCCGCCGCGAUACCAGAUUAACGGCUACGAUUUGCAGUUACACCCGAACCUUCUCGAACGAGACACUGUUUACGGCCGUCUUCUCCUCCUUCCUUGGACCCUUGCCCUCACCGGCGCUGUCGCGGCGCACGUACCCAAACCGUUGGCAAUGGAGGAAAAAGAUUCGCCGACCCUCCAACGUACCAUGAACCUCUGAUAUUGUUCCCCUUAAAAAUUUUUGUUUAUGUUUACAUUUUCUCCUUUCCGUUUGCUUUCAGAAGAACAAGAAGAAGUGAAGGGGAAAAGGAAAACCUUGGUGGUGAUUCUGAUGGGUCCCCCAGGCAGCGGCAAGACCACCUUCUGCAACGACGUCAUGAGCUCCGCCCGCCGUUGCUGGGUUCGGAUUUGCCAGGUCUCUUCCCAUCCAUCCCUCGUUUAGUCACUGUAUAUGAUACUGUUCCGAUCAAAAUUUGCUCUUUAAUUGGUACAACCUGGGCUUUGAUGCCCUAGGGAGGGACUCAUGAUGGUGUUGCGUUGAUUUAAUCGUUUGAUUACGCCCAAAACUAGAUGUUACUAUGUUAGAUGCUAAGACGACAACAAUGUGUCGCCCUUUAGAUAUAUCGUAAAGAAUGGGCAAAUUUAGCUAUAUGUUAGACUCCUCCUAAGAAAUUUUGCAUACUAAUUCCUUUCUUUGUUAAUGAUGCCAAGUGCGGAAAAUUUACAACCAUGAUCAGCUGAUAUUGCAAAACAGAUAGAUUAUGAGGGUAAAGUGAAUGCUAGACCAAGUGUCUAUCCACUAUGGUGAAAGGUUAGAGAAAAAUGGAAAUUGCAACUGAAUGGCAGAGAAAUGAAAGUCUGCAUUUUUUUUUAAACAAAAAAAAGAUGCAAGAUAAAGACUUAUCUCAAGUAAUCGGUCCAACCAAUUUUUUAGAACGGCUCAACCUGUAAACAUGCAGAUUAUAUGAUCAUAGGGUCAUGAUGUUCAGACAAUUCCUUUAUCCACAACUUACCGGCAUACCAAGAAACUGACAUGUUUUCAAAGUGAUAUGGUUGCAUGCUGUCUCUAGGAUACCUAAUUACCAAGUUUAUGUUCCUUGAGAUAGGGUUUAACAUGAUAAAUAUGAAGGGCCCUGUCUUCAUCAUCCUCUUCCAUUCAAAACUGAAUUAGGCCUAGUUCUUUCGCCUUCGAUUUUGUUCAGUUGCUUUUUCAGGAUCUCAUGGUUUCUCGUUUUAUAAUUCUGAAUUCUGAUUGAAGGAUGCUGUUCCUUAUAAUGAUCAUUGUACCGCAACUUACAUUAUAUUUCAAUGCUUACCAUUUACAUGCAGUUAUUGGCUCAUUGCUUAUAAGAACAUGUUAGUUAGUGAUUUUCUAACAAUACCUUAUCAUUGGCCUUGGCCAUUUCAUCUUUAUAAUAAGGUUACACCUAAAAGGCUUUAGCUGCCCAUCAAUGGUGACAGCCACCCUGGAGACAAAUAUUAUAUGAGGCGUGGGGGCUUUAUAUCGACAAUAGGGAGGAUUUUUUUUUUUUGGGUGUCUAUAGUUGAGACUGGUUGUAGAUGAAUCAUGUAACCGAACGUUUCUGCUAUCUUGUUUGUUCUUUUCAUUCUUUUUGUUUCACUAAUGGCAGUAGAACCUGUAUACUGUGUUGACCUAUUAGUGUCAGCAAAAUAAACUGAUUUUAUAGGUUUACGCGUGUAAAAUUUACAUACUUUUAAUGGAUGAAUAUAUGAAUUGUUGUAAAAUGUAAAUGUCCUAAUCUUGUUUGAUUGUAUUAUGAUCCAUACCAGAAAAUAGGACACCUGGGCAAGUUAAAAUCACAUUUUCUCUGAGGAUUUACAUUCUACUAAAUUUGUAAUUUAUUCAUGCCAUGGAAUAGAUCUUCCAUCCAUCUGGCCAUUAUCAUGUCCUACAGUGAGUGCACAUGGCUUUUUUUUUUUGGAAUUUUUUUUAUACAAAUUUUCUGAACUGAUUGCCAUCAUGGGCCAUCUUUGCUUGUUUAAGUCUUUUAUUUGAAAAGCCUUUGGGUUCUGAGUAUUUUGCUAUUAGGCUAUUUAUAUGUUUUAUUUCUAAUCAUAUAUCUGUUUCUGUGAUAUGGUCCAUCUUAGUUGUGUUUCAAAACUGAAAGAUUAAUCUUUUUUACAGGAUACUAUUGCAAAUGGAAAAGCUGGAGCAAAAUCACAGUGCUUAAAGAGUGCAGCUGAUGCACUGAAGGAUGGUAAAAGUGUUUUCAUUGAUAGAUGCAACUUGGAGCGAGACCAGCGUGCUGAUUUUCUGAGGCUUGGAGGAGCACAAGCAGAUGUACAUGCAGUGGUCCUUGAUCUGCCUGCUCGGCUUUGUAUUUCCCGGUCAGUGAACCGGACAGGGCAUGAAGGGAACUUGCAAGGAGGAAAAGCUGCUGCUGUCGUUAAUCGCAUGCUACAAAAGAAAGAACUACCCCAGCUGAGUGAGGGAUUCUCUCGGAUUACAUUUUGUCAGAACGAAAAUGAUGUUAAAAAUGCUGUCAAAAUAUACAGUGCACUGGAUCUGUCUGAUACCCUUCCAUCUGGAGUGUUUGGCCAGAGGAGUAAGGAUGCAAAAGUCCAGCUUGGGAUAAUGAAAUUUCUGAAGAAAGUAGAAAUACCAGAGAAUGAAACAUCAGGCAAAUGUAACGUGAUAGAUGACAAUACUUGUCAAGAUUCUAUUCCAAGACAAGAAACUUGUGGAAAAGAUCUGUGCUCCAUGGAACUUGAAAUGGAAAAUAAGGAUAAGAAAGGGAGUGACUCUUUGGAGAAAUCUUCUGUUGGUGAUCUUUCCUCGAAUGAUGUUCAUACACUAGCUUUCCCAUCCAUUUCAACAGCAGAUUUUCAAUUUGACCAUGAGAAGGCAUCUGACAUUAUAGUAGAGAGCGUUGCUGAUUUUUUGAGAAAGGUUGAUAAUGUCAGACUUGUUCUGGUCGACCUGAGUCACAAAUCAAAUAUCUUAUCUUUGGUUAGGGCUAAGGCUGCAGAGAGAAACAUUGACUCUAAAAAAUUCUUUACAUUUGUUGGAGAUAUUACUCAGCUGUACACAAAAAGAGGCCUACGUUGUAAUGUCAUUGCCAAUGCUGCCAACUGGUAAGAUUUCAUAGUGAUGGAAUGUUGUCUUCUACUGGCUCCUUGGGUUUUGCUUUUAUUGAUGCUAUUCAUGUUAUUUGGUGCGUAUGUUCUGGAAAUGUAUUAUGCUUCGACUUCUGCACCUAUUUCAAGCUGAUAAUGUUGCACUUCUUUCAUAUUUUCUAGAAUAUAAUGCAGUCAUAGGUUACCUUCGUUGUUAAUUACUUAUGAAUACAUUAGUGUGUUAUAUGUGUCUUGUUAGUUCAUAAUUAUGCUUAAUACUUAAGAAAAGGGCUUGUUGGUUACGGUAACAGAAUGUACAUAUGCUAGUAUUUUAGAUUUCUAUACACUCGAAUGCUUUAGGAAAAAAGAAUGAGAUAGAUCUGCUUUAAUUAAUCCAAAAUUGCAUGAUCAAAAUGUAUUAACAGAUUGAAUUUCUAAAAUAUGUCAUGCUUCAGUUGAUAGUUGACAUCUGGAGUUUUAUGGAAAGUUUUGUUGGGUAGUACAUAUUACAUUUUUUAUUGUAUCACUUCAAGAGAUUUCUAUAUGAAGAUCAAAAAAGUUACAUAUUAAAAUGCCCAUCCAUGAUUUGCUUUAUAACCAGACUUUUCUGUAUAUCUUGUUUUUGAGAGAAGACUAUUCUGUUUGUCUCAUAUUAUUGCAUUUAAUUUUGUGAAGACUUUCUAUGUUUCACAUGUUACUAAAUUGCAUUGGUUUAUGUGAUUAUAAGCUUUGUUUGAUUGAUAUUAAAAAAAGAAAAACGACAUGACCAUACACUGUUUAGAAACCAGGAAGUAACACCAACAUCAACGACUGAUGCUUUGUGCAGGCGGUUAAAACCUGGAGGUGGAGGGGUCAAUGCAGCUAUAUUCAAAGCAGCAGGCAAAUCACUAGAAAUUGCAACCAAGGAACGAGUCGAAACUCUUAGCCCAGGGAACUCUGUUGCAGUCCCUCUUCCCUCAACUUCUCCCCUGUAUAAAUUCGAAGGAGUGACCCAUGUCAUACAUGUUCUUGGACCAAAUAUGAAUCCACAGAGACCAAACUAUCUUAAAAAUAACUAUGUCAAAGGAUGCAUGGUUCUUCGUGAUGCGUACUCAUCACUUUUUGAGCACUUUGCAUCUAUCUCAAAAAGCUGUCUUCAGAGGGAAGGCAGUGGAGAUUCUAGAUAUAAUCUUUCAGAUCCACAAAGCAAUCUCAUGGAAGGAACUACCAGUGAGCAGUUUCCACAGAGUGAUCAGAAGAUCAAACGAGAGGACCCUUAUGAUUUUGAGAGAAACAAAAGAUCCAAAGGAAUUCUAACUGAAUCAAGUUCAAAGGACAAAUAUAAUAUGCAGCAUGGCGAUCAUGGAUUUGCUGAAUCUGGAAUCAAUUCUGAUGCGCCAAAAUCCGAUGAUGAGAGCAGAAAGACCGCUGUUGCUACGAAAAGAACAUGGGGUUCUUGGGCCCAAGCUCUUUAUGAGAAUGCCAUGCAUCCUGAGAAGCACAAGAAUGCUGUCAUGGAGAUAUCAAAUGAAUAUGUUGUUUUGAAUGAUCGGUAUCCCAAGGUUUGGCAUGUUAAAUUAAACAUUAUGCUUUAACUGACCUCUACCCCAAGUUCGAUCAUGUUGUUGUUGUAUUAUAUCUGAACUUUUGUUAUGCAGGCAAAAAAGCAUAUUCUGGUGCUUUCGAGAUUGCAUGGUCUCGACUGUCUUGCAGAUGUCCAGAAAGAACACCUUCCUUUGAUGAAACAAUUGCAUGCUGUGGGAGUGCAGUGGGCUGAAAGAUUCUUAAGCGAAGAUGCUUCUUUAGUAUUUAGACUUGGAUAUCAUUCAGUGCGUUCAGAGUCAACAUAAAUUUCUUUAUUUUCUUAUUCUUUUCUUGUUUCAGUUGAUUUUGGCGUAGUGACCUCAGUUUCUGUUUUGGCCAUCUUACAGGUCCCAUCAAUGAGGCAACUGCACCUUCAUGUUAUAAGCCAGGAUUUUGACUCGACGCACUUGAAGAACAAAAAACACUGGAACUCUUUUAACACCGCUUUUUUCCGUGAUUCUACUGAUGCAAUAGAGGAGAUUGAUAAGUAUGGAGCAGCAAAGAUCAAUGAUGAGAAGUUGCUGACAAUGGAGUUACGCUGCCACAGAUGUCGGAGUGCACAUCCUAAUAUCCCAAAGCUUAAAUCCCAUGUUGCUAAUUGCAAAUUUUCCUUUCCCUCUCAUCUUCUCCACAAUGGCCGACUUGUGUCGGCUUCAUCAAAAACUGUAAGUGAAAAACCAUGAACUCAAUGGGUACAGUGUUUUGGACAUUGGAGUUGCAGGUAUGAUGCCCUGGUUUUGUUUGUGGAUACUGGGCUGGAGGUAUACGACAAUGAAAUGAAACCAUAAUUCUAUGGAUAAGGAACAAUUUUUUGGCUAUUUACAGUGGGAUCUUCGCCUGUUUGUGUUUCCGUACAGUUUGACACGCUAAUUUCUUUCUUGUUAGGUUCCAUCGCUUGAUAUAUUUGAGGGAUUUUCCUCUAGGUUCUAUCUCCUCUCAGAUUGCCUAAUGGUUUUGCUUGUCCCCCUGGAUCCAUAGCGAUGGGUCGGGCCAGGGUAAAGCAAGGCCCAAAAACCUUGUGCUUAAGGGUAGGCCCUUUAGGCCCACGGGAUCGGGUUUUUGUUAUGGUUGUGGAUCUCUGUUCAGAAGCCAGUUAGCUGGCGAACAGCAGAGACAAAGACAUCAGUUACUCUUUCAAGGUGGUUAUCAUCUUUCGUCCUUUUUAUUUUUCGGCUAACUUUAUGUCUCGUUCUGGCUGGGACUAGACAAGCUUUCAGAACUUACUCCUUCCUCUCCUAUUCAUUCCUAACCUUUUUUAAGGUGUUGCCAUUCAUACCCUAGCAAGCUAGAUUUUCCCUAUCCAAUAGUCAUGUAAGGCCAAUACAGGGAUUUGUCGCCAAACCUAUAACAAGGUGUCUAUCUCAGCUAGUAACUACAUUUUAUUCCGCUUCUAAGCAAAGAUUACUGUACCAUGACUUCAAGCAAUCCUCCUUUGGUAUCAUUGUCAUCUGUUGGCCGCCACAUCCACAUACCCUACCUUAGGAGAAAUUAUACCCUACACCAGGAACACCAUAUCAGCGGUGCACGACACAAGUCAAAAUUUUCAUUCCUGUAAACUCCAUUCACCAUAAAGUUCAUCUUAGAUUGCCACCCCCAUCACCUCAUUUUCGAUUGUUUCUGUAGUGUAGUGCUGACGUGGUGCACCUGGUGUUGAGUAUAAUUUUUUCUGUUUUAGCCUCCACCAAGGCAAAAAUAGAUAUUUUUUAUAAAAUUUGUUCUCUUUUGAGUUGUCAGUUCGCGAGGAAGGGCGGUCGGUUUAAUAUUAGCCGACGCGGUUUAUCUGUGUUGAGUAAGUAUUAGUGAUGGGCGAAAUGUAAGUUGAGCCUCAUCUUGCGUGCUGGUAAUUGAUCAGCAGCACGUCGGAAGAAAGAGUCUGAUUUGAUAUGCACAACUUGCUUCCUUGCAUAGCUCGCUUUGCGUGAAAGUGUAUGUGAUAAUAUGCCAUGCUAAUAGUAAAAGGCUAUAUGAUUAUAAUAGAUACAACAUUUUCUUAGUUUGUUUCUAAGAGGAGCCCUUUUUGAUUUAGUUUUAUUUUUUAAUGCACCUCAUAAAUUUGAAAAUGUGACAUAUAUCAUAUUUGGCCUUAAAAAUGGAAAUGAAAAAUUUGCCACAUUACAGAGUUAACAUGAGACAGAUGAUCCUUUAUAGAUAUUCAUGCUAAGUCGUUUCAGAAGCUUAGACCAUGCCAUGUCCAAACCUGAUCUGGCCAGAAAGUAAGAUUUAUAGAACAAACAUUGCUUUAUUAGUGAAAUUCGAUAACAUUUGAAAGACAAUGAGAACUUAUCUUGACCUAAUUAGACCAAUCUUGCUUUAAAUUUUCUUUGAUUUGGACCUCCAUUGUAGAAUUUUUGACAUCUCUAGUAAGCUAUAGAGUAUUUCUAUACCCUCAGUGUCCAUUCCUUAAAAGAACAGAGUUUCCAGAAGAAAAUUGCUACCGCAUGAAUUUAGCUAUCUGCAAGCAAGAAAACAAGAGACAUGUUGGUUGUCGCAAUAUCAAAACUCAUGGUGGGGGCAACAACAGCAAGAAUAAAGAUUUAAGCCAUGCAAGAUGGUCCUCCAGAUAACAACAUUAGCAUAUAUUCUCUACACUGCCAUGAAAUUGUUGCUUCCCAAAGAAAAAGAAAAGGGAAGACAAAGAAAAGAAAAAGUUUCUCCAUCUUACAGAUCACUCUCUUAUCUUGAAUCCAAGCAAUCAGUUCAAUGACCAGCUUUUUCCCUUCUUUGCUUGGCACGUUUCCAUGUCUGUCGGCCCUUAUUCUUCCACUUAUCAACACCACCAGGUUGACGUUUCUCCUCAAUUUCUUGGACCUUACGUUUUCUGCAAGACAUCAAAUACACUCAUAUGAACAGAAGAAUAAAUAAUAUUUCACCAAAACAUAUAACUUGCAAAUUUACUGAGUUUAUUGGCCUAAUACCCUGCUGUAACAAUAAAAAAAAGCAGGACAAAGUUACCAUAGGAAAGUGAAUAUGAUACAACGUUUUCAGUUACUAUGAUCGUAAAAUUGCAUUUGGAGUCAGAGACUCUGUAGGUACGACAAGCACCAUGAUUGCCAACUCCAUUCAUAUAACUUUGAGAUAAUUCACCUCUAUGAAAAAACAGGCUGCUUUGGGCAUGCUAUCCUGCUGCAAUAUUUCAAAUGGCAUGGAUGUGCAAUCACAAAACCUUUUACACCAAGGUUGGGUAUGGAAUUCUGCAGGCAAACUUCCACUUGGAAUUCUAGAUUGUAAUCUAAGUUUAAUGGGGAAUGUUGUCUCACCUGUAAGCCUUAAAUGCAUGAUCAGAUAGCAGUUCAUCCGCCAAUGUUGCCUUUCUCUCUUUCUUCUUCAGCCUGCCUGAGAAGAACUCAGAUGCAGGUUCAAUAAUGGUACCCACCUAACAGAUUUUGACCAAACAUAUUAAUCAUUUGAAAUGAGAUGAAAUUGGUGACUGAAGAUACUUUUCAAACAACUGCAGAAAAGUAAGGCAACUUGCCUGAAAAUACUUCGGGAGGGCCUUCGAUUUCUCUCCCCUUUUGAAGUGCCUUUUUGGAUCGAUAGCACUCCUCAGCUGCAGCAUGAAUAAAAUGUCAAAACUCCAACGUAGAUAGAGUGAAGUAAUUAGAACCAACCCAUGCAUUAGCCCUGUACAGUAUCUUGAUAAUUCUCAGACUAACAUUAAAAAAAAAAAAUCUUGAGUAAAAAACUCAAACACAAUGUU
rnacentral:lncRNA from 1 species